rnacentral:lncRNA from 1 species
AAACUGCAGUACUUGAAAGUUGGAACAUUAGAAACAAAUUAUCAGGAACAUAGGAAAGAUGCAGGGUGAUUGCCACUGAAUGCUAAAUUUUAAUAGAUCCGGCAUGUCUUAUUAUCCUUACUACAAGGGGUGGUUCACUAGGACCAGAUACGCUGUCUUUUUCACUUGUAUUUGUAUUUCCAAGAGAUAAAGCUAUCGGGACAGGCUGAUAGCCAACACCAGCACCUGGCUUAGCAAGUCGAAAUGGUUUGCAGAAGAGCCAUACGUGAUACUGUUUCCAAUGAUUUCUUCCUCUCCUUCUUCUUCAGCUAGCAAGUGGGCCGGGGGCAAGUCCAGGCCAUCCUGUUCCCAUUCUUCAGUAUCCAUGCCCCAUUCAAGAUAAUUAAUUCCUGCCAUCGCUAAAGCUUCUAUUGAAACUGACAUGAUUUAUGAAAAUUGGGUCUUCUCUUGUUUCGAAUUUGCUCUUGCAACAAAGAACAAAUUAGUGUGUAGAUUGUUUGAGAACUGAGAACGACUACAAUCUUAUUUAUAGUAAAAGCAUCAAAAAACAAGUACGCAUUUAUAUUACGCAUAUGAUUUUAUGAUAGGAAUAAGAUGCAGAUUUCUCAAAAUUCACGAGCAGCAUGAAAAUCUCAUGCAUGUUUCUCUUCAAUUCUUAAAAUGGGUUUCCUUUUGGAGAGUUCAUAAGACGUAUAGUCAUCAAAGAGGCAACAGUCUCGUGAUUAUAUAGGCAGCUUUCUAUCGACUAAAGGCAUGACGCAAGCUUGGUCGCUGAUGUAUGUAUUCACCCUGGUGAGCCACUUGAGCAAUGAUGUUGUUUUUUUUUUUUAAAUUAAUUGGAUUUCAUUAUCAGAAACCAGGAAUAGGUUCCUUGGAGAACAAAAGAGCACAUGAUUUUAAGAUGCUAUGCCUUGAUCAGCAUAUCAUCUCAAAAUCUUGUCAUCUUGCCUAAAGAAAAUCAGCUUACAAAGAACCCCAUAAAAACCCCUAUCAUCAAUAUACAAAAAACAAAAUCAGAAACAGCAAAUAGCCUCAAUAAGAAACCCCAGGCCUCUCUGUGCAAAAGUCAUUCCUGAAGGGAGAACCAGCAAGCUUGCAAUCUGAUAAAAAACUCAGUGCCUCAUAUCACGGACCUUGGCUCAAAAGCCUAACCAUCUCAGCCAAACAAAAGUCAAAAAGCAACAGAGAGAAACGAUCAAACCUGAAGCUUGAAUUCUUCACGCAGCCAUUCAAAGAAGAAGAAAAAAUCUCCAGCCUCUUUACUACUCAAAGACAUUCAAUAAAUUCUCCUGACGUCUGACCCCUUCUUUUGCUAGACUAUCUGCGAAUUGAUUCUUUUCUUUGAAUAUAUGGUUGACUCCCAUCCUUUAAUGCUACUUUUCAAACUUUCAACGCGCAUGAUCCACUUCCUUAGCCUCCAAGGAGAUCCAGUUGGUCCAUUAAUCCAUUUGACUAUAUUUUUAGAAUCUGACUCAAUUAUCAGUUUGUGAGUCUGGCUCCAUUUUUAGAAUCCAUUUGGGCAAUGAUGUUGUGACCCUGUACCCUAAAGAAGCAAUUGAAGAGUUGUUGACAAAAAUUUCAGAAUCUUAUUUAUAACCAGAUCCAUGAAGAAAUUAAAAGAGGUUACUAAUAAAUAUUUUCACCAAGAAUUAGAGGGUAAAGUUAAUAACUGAUUGGACCAAGUGUUAUCACCUAAUGAUUUGAAUGUAUGGGUUUCGGCUUGUUUAUGAUGUGGAACACAGUGUCAAGCUGGCUUCAUAAUCAGUGUUGAGUCCUAUUGGCAACUGUAGACACUUAAAAUAAAUCAAUAAAUAAAUAAUUUUAAAUUAUAAUAAAAUGAAACAAAAUAAUAAAAAAUAAAUGAAAAAAAAAAGAAAUAAGAUCCAAAAAUCUACCAGCAGAAGUUAUCUAGCCACAAAAAAUAAAAAAAUAAUAAAAAAAGCAGCCAAAAAAAUCCAAUCGGGGUUUCAACGGGGGAGAUUCGGUUCGGUUUGAGGGAGAGAGACUGGUGAGCUGUGAGGGGAGAUUAGAUCUUUGGGGUGCCGAUCAUCGGCAGGGGAAAGCUUAAACCCGUUUGGGUCACCGUCUACCGAGGCAGGGGGUGCCAGAUACAUCGAUCGGAAGGGAAGAGGGCUUCGAGGGAAAGACAUAGGAACAUCUGGGCCGUCGGUCGGAGGGAAGCAAAAGGGGUAGUACGCCGGCGCCGGCAAGAAGAGGAAAUGGUUUUUAGAGAGAAGGCAGAGGGUAGCCGGCUAGAGAGAGAAAAUGGAAUCUGAAAAUGAAAGGAAAGGCCAAAAAUGGGAUUUAUAUACACAAGUUUAGGGUCUAAACGGUGCCGUUUCAGUAGGGUGGGGAAUUAAAGGGAUCAACGCCUAAACGACGUUGUUUGAGGGAGUCUCCAGAGCCCCAAAACGGUGCGUUUAGGGGAAAGCCAGACGGACCAAGGGAGUAGGCUUGGGACGCCUCCGUGUAGCCUAAACAACUUAAGCCAUCAUUCUAGCCCAAGCAAGGUGAGGCCUUACCCGUUUAUUGUGGAUUUGGGCUUGUUAUUUUGAGCUUAUCCAGUUUAUUUAAUUAUUUGCUUAGUUUAAAUAAAAAUUAAAAAAAAAUAUAAAAAAUAAUAAUAUAUAAAUAAUAACAAUAACAAUAAUAAGUGAAUAAAGAAAUAUUUAUAUUAUAAAUAUAUUUGAGGCUUGCAAAUAAUAAAAUAAUAAUAAUAAUAAUAAUAAUUCAUGAUACAAAUAUAUAUAUUUAAAAAAAAAGAAAAAUAAAUAAAAAAAUAUAAAAAAUAAAUAAUAUAAUUGAAACAAUUAUUUGAGUAUUACCAUCUAAAAGGGGUAAAGAGUUGCCUCUUUCGGGUGGAUGUUUUUCGGGUGCGAAGUUCGAGACGGAUUUUCACCGAAACGUCGGGAUAUAUCUGAACUCUAAACUUCAAAACCCGUUAAGUCGAAUAGUCGUUGUUAAAAAAUAAUAUAUGUAAGAAAAUUUUGUUGCAUUCGAAUUAAUGUAAUUGGUUAAUGAGCUUAAAUAAAUAUUACUAAAUAAAGUUAAUUUAAUCGUUUAAAAAUUAAUUAAUUAUUUAUUUGAUAAGCUUUGUAAUCAAGUAAAAAAUUAACAAACAACGUUAAAUAAAGGAUAUGGAUUUAAAUAGAAAACUCAAAAAAAAUAUAUAAAAAAUAAUAAAUAAUCCAAAAUUUUUUUAUUAAACAUAUAAUUGGGUGAAUUAUAAAUCACCUAAAUCAAUAAACGCGUGCACGUAGAUAUCAUCAUUUUAUCCUGUCAUAGCAUGCCACAUUUAUCUUGCAAAUGAUGCGGGAGUCCCGAUGAUGGGAUUUCCCCGAAGAGAUUGUAGAGACGAGUUCUUCCGGGGAUAUCUCUAGGUGAGGAAAAUUUCGAGACUUCACCAAAGCGUUGGGAUGGUUUUCGAAUGAUUUUUCAAUAAAAGAUUACCGAUCCCAUUAUUCAAAAUAAACAAGUCAUGACAUCAUUUUACGCUUGCAUCAUGUGCAUACGUAAAACCAAAUAAAAACUCUCAGUCGGUCAAUUUAAUAAAAAUUUAAUUAAUAAGUAAGGAUUAAAUUAAAAGUAGGUUAUAUUAAGAUAACUUAAGAUUAAAUGGUACCGUUCGUGGAACGGGCGCCACGGAGGUGCUAACCCUUCUCCGUGCGUAACAGCACUCCCGAACCCAUCUCUAAAAUGUGGACCAGUUCUCGUUCUUUCGAGGAACCUAAAAUUAAUUUAGAACUUUGUCGAUUAGAAUCGGGUUAAUAGGUAACCAAUCACACCUAGAUAAAAAAAGAUUGGUGGCGACUCCUAAACCAUCUUAAUUUUCGCCCGCGUCUGACGGACGGGUUCUCGGACCCGCACGUUACGACAGCAACCAGAUAUAUGAUAUUGUUGUAUUGUAUCUUUAUACGCAAGAAAGGACAUGUUAGGGUCUCAUGUCUAGCAUGUGCUUAAUAGAGGUGGUCCAAUAAAUUUAAAUGUCUAAAACGAAAUAUUCAAAUGAGAUUUUUUUUAUUGAAAUUAAAAAAAUUAUUAAAAUUUUAUUUUUUAGCUUUUUGAGAUGUAAAAUUUUUAAUUAAACUUUUAUAAUCAAGUUUAAAAUAAUAGUACCUAAUUGUUGAAUGUUUUUUGCAAACCGCAAAUGAGGCUCACGAUUUUAUGAAGAUAAUAAAAGAAUAGACUUCUUGUGUAUUCUUGGGAGAAAAUUGAAAUUAAAGAAAAAAAGAGCAAAUGAGAAAAGAAGAAUUCAAAAGUGGAUAUUGUAUAUUGAAAAAAAUAAUUGGUUUAUAUAUAGGAAAAAAAUAGUUGUUGGAAAUCAUUAAAUGAGUUGAUUGGAAAUAAGAGAAAUAAGUGAGAAAAAAAUUGUUGUUGGAUAUUAAAUACAUAUGAUCAUUAAUUGAUUGAAAAUAAGAUAAUAUAGUUGAGAAUUAAUAACAUUUUAGAAAUAAGAAAGUGAUAGAAAAUUAAGAUUUAUUAAACACAUAAUUAGAAAAGUGAUAAAAUAAAUAAUUUUAUUAAUUAUUUUUAAUAUAAUUAAUUAUAUUAUAAUUAUUAUAAAAUUAUAAAUCUUUCUUAAAUUUGAGAUCUCUCUCAAUUGGGGGCUAAAGCUCUUGCUUGGGUGACUUCACUCAAGGGUCGGCUCUGGUGCUUAAUUGCAUCACAACCACAACGUAAGAGUAGAAUUUUGUAAUCAAAUUUCAGUAAUGAAUAUAAUCUUGAUAUUCUUUCAAAAAAAAGUUAAUAACUGAUUUAUAUAAAACCAAGUAAUGUUUUGUUAAGUUGUUAGAGUUAAGUCGAAUCUUAUCAUCAUGGGUGAAUUGUCAUUUAAAGGAUUUUAAUAAGUUGGUCAGGUGACAUAUUUUGGGAUCGGGCAAGAAAUUAAGGGACACAGGGUCGGGGUAAAGGAUUUGCAUUCCCCCUACCAUAGUGAACGUUUCUGUGGAAACCGAUCACUUGAUUUUAUGCAAACUAUAGCUGUAUCCUCUAUUUUUUUCUUCUCUUCUUCAUAUAUUUUUAUUUGCUACUCACUUAACUAUACAUUAACUUUUAUUCAAAAUUCACCUUCUAAUUAAUUAACAUGAAAUCAAGUGGAAGUUUCUAUUCCAACUUAAAGGGAGAAGAAAAUGGAAAAAGGGCCAAAGGGGAUUAAUGUGAGGUAUUAAUCAUAAUGUAAGAGAAGCAACAACAUCACGUGAUCACACUGUUGACCAAAGAACAAAUCGUACCUUCAUCUUGCCGUACAAUAUUGAUUCAUCGAAAAUUAACGUAAAUCUUGCUUCCCCUCCUGUCAGGGUAGAGUUAGUAAAUUUUUAUUGGAGGGCUAAAUAUAGAAGAAUAAAGAUUAAAAUUUUAAAAAAUUAAUAUGUUAAAUUUAAUUAAUAAUCAAAAGAUUGAUAAUAGAAAUAUAAAACUAUAAUAUGUAAAAUACAAAUAAUUAAAAAUGAUAUAUAAGAUUAAUAAUUUUUUAUAUAAUCAAAAUUAUUUAAAGACAAUAUGUUCAAGAUAAUUUCAUUUCAACUAAAUAUAAAACGUAAAAGAUAUAAAAAAAUAUACUCAAAUUAAUUUUCUCUUACAUAAUUAGAAUUAAUAAAAAAAUGAUACAUUAAUGAAAGUUUAAAUAACAAUAUAACAUUACAACUUAAAUUUGAGAAUUAUAUAAUAAUUUAUUAAUUUUUAAAAAUUUAAAAUGAUUGAAAAUAAUCUACGUAACAUAAAAAAGAAAAACAUAGCAAAUAAAAUAUAGAAACCACAUAAGACAUAACAAAAAAGAAAGAAAAAGGAUAUGAUUAAUGAUUUGUAGAAAUUUGAAAAAGAAAUUAUAAAAAUUUAGAACAUAUGAGUAAAUAAAAUAGAAAUAAAAAAAAUAAAUAUAAAUAAAAAAUAUAUAAAUUNAUAAUCAAAAGAUUGAUAAUAGAAAUAUAAAACUAUAAUAUGUAAAAUACAAAUAAUUAAAAAUGAUAUAUAAGAUUAAUAAUUUUUUAUAUAAUCAAAAUUAUUUAAAGACAAUAUGUUCAAGAUAAUUUCAUUUCAACUAAAUAUAAAACGUAAAAGAUAUAAAAAAAUAUACUCAAAUUAAUUUUCUCUUACAUAAUUAGAAUUAAUAAAAAAAUGAUACAUUAAUGAAAGUUUAAAUAACAAUAUAACAUUACAACUUAAAUUUGAGAAUUAUAUAAUAAUUUAUUAAUUUUUAAAAAUUUAAAAUGAUUGAAAAUAAUCUACGUAACAUAAAAAAGAAAAACAUAGCAAAUAAAAUAUAGAAACCACAUAAGACAUAACAAAAAAGAAAGAAGAAGAAUAUAGUUGAUGAUUUAUAAAAAUUUGAAAAGAAAAUUUAUAAAAAUUUAGAACAUAUGAGUAAAUAAAAUAGAAAUAAAAAAAAUAAAUAUAAAUAAAAAAUAAUAUAAAUUGAUAGAAAAAUAAAAAAUUUUAAAAUUGAGUGAGAUAUGUGAAUCAUUUUAUUAUUCUUUAUUUAUAUUAAUUAUUAAAUAAAAAAUUAUUUUGAGAGGAUCAUUAAUAAAAUAAAUAAAUAAUUUUAAAAAUUUUAUAUGUUAAGAAAAUUUUUUUGAAAAUUUUGGAGGGGUCAUGGCCCCAUCACUUAAGGAGGCUCUGCCCCUGCCUCUGAUAGAUAUGUUUGGAAAAUUAUAAGCAGCGUUGAGGGAAGCCAUGAUGCAAGCUUAAUAGGUAGCUUAAUUAAUUAAUUAAAUCAAUUAAAAAGGCCACAUUCUCGUGACCUUAUACUUUGAGCAGUAAUUAGAAUUUUAUUAGAAAAUUUCAUCCGAAAAGAGCAUUAGGAAUGAAUUGCUCACAUAUGUAUAUGGAACAUUAAAAUCACAUGUCUGUAAUGAUGAAGGCGUGUGAAUUAUAAAGGUGUGUGAACACUACCUCAUCAGUCAUUGCCACUUAGCCAAACAAGUCAAAGAUUUAUGAAUUGGUCAAUUAAGUUUGAUUUCUUAUACACGGUACUCCAGCAAUUUCUCAAAUAAAGAGUUUAAUUAUUGAAUUCAAACUCUGAACCAAUUAUGUCUAUAUUUUUCAACAGGAAUUGUCUUAAUUAGAAUAAAAACACUAUAUUUAUUCUUUCCGUCAUAACACUUGACAUAUAAUUAAUUUAAUUAUGUGCAAAAUUACACAUAAAAUAAAAAAUAAUAAUGUAACAACAAAUUAAAAUAUCACUCCAUCUAAAAUUUUUAACUUGUAAUGGAAAUCUUGAUAUGUAGCAAUCUUUAGAAGAGUGAAAGCGUUUUAUUUUUAUUUCAAAGCAUUUAAGAAUUGUAGUAUAAUAUAACGUUUUAAUUUGGUUGAUGGUCAAAUAUUUUAUGCAAUAACAAAAGGUAUAGUAUAAUAUAACCUCAUUGACACUCGGUGCACCAAGCUUAUCCUUUGCUUCUUUUUGCAAAGAUCAAGCAAAGGUCAGUGACUCAGUGAACACAACAUAUUUUUCUUAUGUUUAUUUUCGUGUUUUUUUUUGUUUUAGUUUAGAUUUAUUCUGUUAUAAAGAAGCAAGAAAAUAGAACAACUUAUAGCUCUGUUUGUUUGGUUUAAAUAUUGAAACAUUUUUCUUUACAAUAAAUAGUAAAUCAAAACUAAACUAAUUUUACGGUCUUGGUAGUUGUUAAGUUGUUGAGUUUAGUCUUUGAAGGUGAUGAUGAGAUGGUAUCAAUAAAUUGGUUGAGUUAGAGUGAGGACUGGGAACCCAUUCACAUUAAUGUUUUCAUUUUUUAUGCCUUAUUAUGCGUUGGAUUGUUUAUAUUUACUUUAAAUUCUUUGUUUAUCAAUAAAUAUUCUCUUUUAACUUUAAAUUCUUUGUUUCCAAUGGAGGAAUUGUUUGAGGUUUUACUAACUAAUUGCAUAGCUACUACAUAUACCAUUCUCCACUGCUACGUUAAGAAUUAAGAUCGGGUAUUGCACUCUGUCAAUGAGAAGUAGAUUAAAAGACUUUAAUCAUUUAUUUUGAGGAAACAAAUUUGAUUAUGAUUUAGCUCAGCUUUAACCUUAAUUAACUAUUUCAAAAUCAAGAAUUAAUCAGUUAGCAUAUAUGCAAAUAACCAAUCAAGCACCACUAAAUUGACAUGUUCAAAGAUGUUAGCAUUGGUUAACGAAUUGUUAUAAAAUCAAUACUACUCCGUUUCUGGAUUGCCAUGAGAGGGGUUUUUGUGGAGUUAGCUUCACUCGCUUUGUCGGAUAGGUGGAUCAAUGAGAGCUUUUUAGGAAUGUCUUGAAUGGGAUGUUUGGGUUGUGGCCCAUUGCCUGUGGCUGCUGUUUUUUUUUUUCGCGAGAGUCACUCCUUUCUCUCUUGAGGUGACUGGAGAGUGGUUUUGGGUCUCUUCAGGGGGUUCUUUUUUCCGUUAUUUUUUUUAGGAGAUGUUGGCUUGAGCUGGCUGUUUUGUUCGUGGUUCUUCGCUCAGGUUCUUCAAGGUUGCAGCUCGGACUAUGUUGAUGGAGGUUGGCGAUGGUAGGAGUUGUAAGUGCACCUUCUUGCAUGGCACUUGGGAGGUCCUUCAUGUCUAAGGGUUGAGUUUUCUCUCUCGGCUUCAUGUUCGUGCUUUAGAGGGAAGCGGUUCUACUUUCGGCCAUCUUUUGACUUCUGAAUAUGCUAGCUUUUUUGUUGAUUCGUUCCCUAGUUAGGCUUUGGUUCUUGGUUGAUUUGAUCUGCUGUGAUGCUUGUUUUUUGUUUCUAAGCUUCUGCAGAUGCUGAGUGUCGUUUCUCCAACAGCCACUAAUUUUUGUGAGUGGCAACUCUGUUUUGUAUGUACAGUCUUUCUUCCCAAACCGGGUUGCAAUGCCAUCAGAGUCUCUCGCCAAUUAGGCAAGAGACUUCACAUGGUAUCCCCGUUAUGGAAAAUAAAGUUACUUUUCAAUAUAUAUUCCCAAACCGGGUUGCAAUGCCAUCAGAGUCUCUCGCCAAUUAGGCAAGAGACUUCACAUGGUAUCCUCGUUAUGGAAAAUAAAGUUACUUUUCAAUAUAUAUAUAUAUAUAUAUAUAUAUAUAUAUAUAUAAUAAAUGUUUAUUAAAAAAUGUUGAUAUGAUGGUAAAAAUGAAGUAACGGUGGAAAGUAUGAAGGAAUUUAUAACACUUAUGGAAGUAAUGAUUGUGACUAAAUAAUAAAAUAAUGCACUUGAAGUUCAAAUUUUGAAGAGUAAGAUCGCGACAUUUAUGAUGUCUCUUAAUUUUCUGCAUUUGAAUCUAGUUACUUUUUUAAUAUGCAGACAAUAGCACAUUUAAGUUUAUGUUUAUAUAUGUUUGACAUUUUAAAAUAUUAUGUGUUUGUAACGAUUUUUACUCCCAUCAACUUGAUUUUGAAUUUUAUAUUUUAAUGUGUAUUUUUGUUAAGAAUUUUGGAUGUCAAUUAUGAUUUACAAAGGUUGAUUAUUAUGAUUUUUAUUAACUUCGUUAGAAAUUACAAAUAAAAUUCCAUUGGCAAUGAUUGAAUUACCGACGAAAUUCCAUUGGUAAUAUUAAAAAAAUUUCAUUGAUAAUAAUUCAGUUACUUACGGAAUUUAUUUGAUAAUUCCAAUGAAAAUCUACAACUAAUGACUAAAUCAUCAAUGGAAUUUUAUUAAUAAUUUCUAAUGAAAAUCUAGAGGUAAUGAAUAAAUCAUUGACAGAAUUUCAUUGAUAAUUUUCAAUGAAAAUCUGUAAGUAAUGACUACAGUAUGUACAAAAUUUCAUUGAUAAAUAAUUACGAAAUUUCACAAGUAUUGACGAAAUUAUCAAUGAAAAAUUUCAUUGAUAAUUAUCGACAGAAUUCCGUUAGAACAAAAUUAUCAACGAAAAAUUCUAUCGAAAAUUUUUUAUCUUUUUUGAUGGAUUAAUAUUAAAAUAAUUGAAAAUAUUAUAAGUUUUUAUGACGAAAAUUUUCAUUGAAUAUUUUCAAUUGAUUUUCAACAAUAAGUAUUACCGUCGAUCACUUUAGUGAUAAAAUUUCUAACGAAAUUUUUUUGUUGAAAAUUUAUUCGAAAAAGUCAAUUUAAAGGAAUUUUAAUUUUUUUCGAUAAAAAAUUCCGUCGAAAUUAAUAUGAUUUUUGAUAAUGAACAGUAAAAGUGUGAUUUCUUUUUUUAUCCAAAAAAUUUAAAAGAAAACAGAAAACAAGGCCUUCUAACUUCGUGUAUGAAGUUAUUCUUCUUGAAUUCAUGGUUGUAACCAAAUUUAUCUCUUCUCCGAGUUCUGGUAUACUUGACUGCUGGUGAGGGCCUCUGUUAUUGUCCUUGUUAGUGGCAAAGGGCCUUGAACUAAAUUUUUGCUCUUAGUCAAGUGGUGUACAUGGUUGUAUUUUGCUUCUGUACAGAUUGAGAGGAGGGAGAUGGAUUGUGAUAUUUUUUUCUGUAACUCACAGCUAUGCUCCGGAUGGGCAGGGAACUACGAUAACAACUGGGUCAUGCCUUUUUUAUGAGCUAACCUCAGUGCCGUUUUUGAGUGUGAUGCAAAUUUUGUAGGUGGGGGAAAGGCAAGGGGUGCUGUGCAGGGCAUUUAAGGUGACUUUGCAACAAGGCUUUGGAGAAAGAGAUAUAUCCCAUGAACCAAUUGCACAGUUGCUGUGAGCAUCAUUCUUUUCUAGAUUUUGUUCCUUUCAAUUGUUUUAUGCCUUGCCACGCCACUACUUGGAUGAACAAAUAUCGUACAAGGAAAGGAAAACACAAAAGGAUUUCUUUUUUUUUUGUUGUUGUUUUGUUUGUUUUUCCUCUGGAUUAAGAAUAAAGACCAGAUUGAAGAAGUUGAAGAGACCACAAUAUAUGAUUAUAACAACAAAGCCGAGAGCAACCUUAAGAAAAUUCAUUCAAAAAAAAUAUUUGAACUGAAUUCAUCUCUAUUACAAUGAGCUCUAUCUUGAGUAAAUAGUAUAAUAAUUUGAGUGUAAUUAUUUUGACAACGAACUUUAGUUUGAUUUUAAUUAAAUAUUAUUAUAUUUAAUUUGACUCAAUUAACUCAGUUUAUUUUAUUUACGAAAUAAGAUAAACUUCAAACACUUUAAUUAAAUAAAAAAUUUUUAUUUAAAUAUAACUUAAUUACAUAUUUACUUGACCAAACAUGAAAAAAAAAUCGAAUCAAAAAUGUACAUGUUCCAAUUUUUUUGAAAAUAUUACUGUAUUUGUCACUUUAAUUUUUUUUCUAAAAUAUUGGAAAUGUGGGAAACUGAAAGAAAGCACAUGUGCGUCACAUGCUAUUGCUAUUUCACCAAACUCAAGUACUCAACAAUAAUAUGACCUCGUCCGCUGUCAUAAACCCAACAAGAAAACGAACAGGAACCCCAAAAAAAACAAAAGCACCGCCAAAAAGCAACUUCACAGUGCCAAAAAGCAAAGAAGCCGAAAACUCGAUGAAAGCAAAGUAAUUGGCAGCCUCGGUUAUGGAAGCCAAGUCGGGGAAUUAUCGCCAGCAUCUUUCUCCAUAUUCCUCAUCACUAUCUUACCAUUUGUUCCAUUCUCUCUUUUCCUUCACGCCUCUCUGACUUUCCUCUUAUAACCCACUUCGAUGCUUUCUCUUCCUUGAUUUCCUUCGAGACCUCGCAUUGUUUUUUUAUCUAAUAAUUGGAUUUUUUGCUGUUUCUUUUUCUUUUUGCUGCAAUGUACGGCACAGAUCGCUGCGUGUUCAUUGACUCGAUGAGGACUUCACAACAGUUGAAUCUUGAUCGUCCAUUUUUGUCAGGUGGCUUGUUUCUCAACGACCAAACACUGCCUUCCUCGAUCGUUUCAUUCAUUUCGUUCAAGACCCAGAAAUGUUUUGUUGAUAAAAAUGACAAUUUGAGUUUGGUUUCGUGUUUCGUGAGUGGUGGGAAGAGUAGUAAAAGGCUGCGUUCUGUAAAGUCGAGGAGAGAUGGUGGUAAAGGGGGCUGGUUUUUAUCGGUGAGUUUGUCGAGGGAGGAAGGGUAUGUUGGCGAAUCAGGAGAAACUUGGGGGCAAAAUGGGGAUAAGAACAUGGAAGAAGAGGAAGUGGUGGAAGAGGAGAAAGAGAAGUUGAAAGUAAAGAAGGGAUCAGGUGCUUUGAAUACCACCAAACAUCUUUGGGCUGGUGCUGUUGCUGCUAUGGUUUCAAGGUUUUGGCUUUUUUUUUUUUCUCUAUUUUAAUUUUUUUCAUUUAUAUUUUUGGGCUAUAAAGUCUGAAUUUGUUAUGUGAAAAAUGGUAGGGAUGGUUUUAACUUUUAUAUCUGAUAGAACAUUAAAUGACAAAAAUUUUCUCGUAAUUCUUUUCUUAGACUUUUUUUUUGUGGUGCUGUUUGGCAAAGUGUGAAAUAUUAAGAGCUGACUAGUCAGGACCCUAAAUUCUAAGUGAUCAAAUUAUAUAACAGCUUGAUAAGUAUGAGUGCUGGAAUUGAACAGAACAUAAGUUAAUAGUAAUGUGGCAAAUGUUAAGAAGAAAGUGAGUUGAUAAUAUGAUAAUGGUUUAAAGAUUAUAUUCAUUUUACUUAAUAUGUUAGGCGAUAAUUUCGAAUUUAUUGUUGAAUUGAAAGCUUUAUCAAGCACACUUGUUACAUGAUGGUGCAGAAAAGGUUUUAUGGUAUACCUUUCGGUUGUACUUUUACAUCUCCUAUGAUACAAUGAUAUUGCUCAUAGUACCUUAAUUGCUUGUAAUUCAUCUCCAGUUGUUGAAUUAGUAUCUAUUGAAUCGCAUUUCGUGGCUCAAAUAGUUGUUUGCUUUUGUAACAGGACUUUCAUUGCUCCUCUGGAGAGAUUGAAGUUGGAAUACAUUGUUCGUGGUGAACAGAAAAACCUUAUUGAACUAAUUAAAUCUGUUGCAGCCUUAGAAGGGUUGAAAGGUUUUUGGAAGGGGAAUUUUAUCAAUAUUCUUCGCACUGCUCCUUUUAAGGCUAUAAAUUUCUAUGCAUAUGAUACUUACAGAAGUCAACUAUUGAAAUUUUCUGGAAAUGAGGAAGUGACAAACUUUCAGAGGUUUCUUGCCGGUGCUGCAGCUGGGAUUACUGCUACUUUGCUUUGCUUACCUAUGGACACUGUAUGUAACAGUUUAAGACUUCACUAAUUUGGUUACAUAUUUAGCCUCCUCUUUUUGUAUUAUGUGUGGUCUGGUUGGGGUGUGGGGGAUUUUGUGGAAUUUGAUAUCUUCUUGUUUUGAAGUAUUCAUAGUAUAUGUUCUUAGAUUUUGCUGCAUGAUCUGAUGAGAUGCAAGGAUGGGACUGGAAGUAACAUGCUUCAGUGAGUUUACUCUGCUUGCCCUUGUAUGUAGUGUACGGAAACAGGAUGAUCCUCUUCUUGAUGGGUCCCGCCUCUUCAAUCUUUAUGGUUUAAGUGCUGUUGUAUUUACUUGUGAUUUCUGUCUCCAAGAUUUCACAUGAUGCCAUUGUUAAGCUGUCUCUUUUAUUAUAAAACUUGGAUAAUAAGUUAACAAUUCAGUGUCCUAAACUGAAACAUGUAGUUUCUGUCCCAAGAAUAUUAUACUUAAGAUUAUCUGAUUUGGAUUGGGGUAUGGGAUUUGGAUGUUUUGAUGUCUAAUGGAAAUCAUGUGAUGAGAUAUUCCCUUCAUGUAUGCGAGGCACUUUUAAGUCCAUAUUCUUUGUUAUUGCAUAGUAACGAUUCCGCCUCUUUUUCACGACACCUCUUUAGAACAAGGUAAUAUCAUGUCUUUGGUGACUUCUACAUGUCCUACUUCUACAAAAACUUUUGUUAUGGAUCCAAGUCAGCAACAGAUUUAAUUUUUUUUGAAUACUAUUUGCUUAACACUAGUCUGAUGAAAUUAGUUGCAUCCUGUUCCAUGUCUCCAACCUACGUUAGUUAUUGUAAUAGAUUCUUUGUAAUUUGAUGUCUAUGGCUUAUUGAGAAUUCCAUUCGCUUAUACUUAUUCACAUCUUGUGGUCAGAGUAGAUGGCCUUCCCUUUUUGUACCUUUUUCUGGUACAGUUGGUUGCUAUUAUGUUAGCUAUGUGAAUGGUGACUCUGCUAAAGUAAUUUUCAUAUCUCUAUCUAGGCUGUGCUCUUAAUAUUUGUUUCUUGAUUGUGGUGUUUGGAAUUGGUCUCCACUUGAAAUCAUUGCUAAAUCCCACUGUACAUGCUAAUUUCAGAUAAGGACAGUAAUGGUAGCACCAGGUGGGGAGGCAUUGGGUGGUUUGAUUGGUGCUUUCCGUCACAUGAUUCAGACUGAAGGGUUCUUUUCACUUUAUAAGGGACUAGUGCCCUCAAUUAUAAGCAUGGCACCUUCAGGUGCAGUCUUCUAUGGUGUCUAUGAUAUAUUGAAGUCAGCCUAUCUUCACUCACCUGAAGGGAGAAAAAGAAUUCAAGACAUGAAACAAGGUGGGCAGGAGCUGAAUGCAUUAGAACAAUUAGAAUUAGGUCCUAUUAGAACAUUACUAUAUGGGGCAAUUGCUGGUGCAUGUUCUGAAGCUGCUACUUAUCCAUUUGAAGUAGUGAGGAGGCAUCUUCAAAUGCAAGUUCGUGCGACGAAGUUAAGUGCAUUGGCAACUUGUGUCAAGAUAGUUGAGCAAGGUGGCAUUUCUGCUCUUUAUGCGGGAUUGGUUCCCAGCUUACUGCAGGUACUAAUUACAUCUCUCUAGUAAAUGGACUAUGACUAUUUUAUGAAUUUUUAUUUAUGUCUAUUUGAUUAAUUAGAUGCUUUAAUUAUACAAGUAAUGAGCGCAAUACACACACACACACAAAAUGUGCAACUUCUUUUUAAUGCAAUUAACCUCAAAAUUUGCAGAGAAAUAAGGUUUAGUUUCUGAUUUGGACUUAAUACCUAUUUGUCAUAAAAUGAAAUUCUCAUUUGAUGUUUUUCAUCAAGAUCUUGUAUGAUUCUGUGAAGCAAUAUAGGAUUGCACCAAUUUGUUGUUUCAAGUUCCUUGCUUUCUUUGUUUACUAACUUAAUUCAUUACAUCACACUACAGGUCUUACCUUCAGCUGCCAUAAGUUACCUUGUUUACGAGUUCAUGAAGAUAGUUCUAAAGGUGGAAUCGGCAUAGGAAUUUUAUCUACUGACUAAAAAAAUAUAGGAGGGAACUAUUGAGACUGAGGCUGGGGGUGGCGUUUUAUUUCAUAAAAGGGAACCUUGACAACUUCAAGUUUACCUGCAUCAGUUUACAACACAACAGAAGGACAAUAAUCAUUUGUAAAAUUCUAUUGCCAUGAUGUUCUUCAAACUUAUUUGAUAGAUCAACCACUUUGAAUUAUUUAGAAAAUAACUUUUACUCAUUUAGUAGAAUUAUGAGUAUAAUUUAUUUUCUCAAUACAUAGUUACAAGUUUUUGUCCUUUAUAAACUUUUUUAACCUUUCAAAAAUAUUCUAGAAUCUACAGAUGUGAAUUUAAAUGAGCUUAGAGAGGAAAUUAAAUUUAAAAAUUUAAAUAGAUUAUUUAUUAAAAAUAAAUUUAAUGUGUUAAUCAUAUUAUAUGUUAAUUGUGAUAAUCAUGUUUAAACAUGUUAUCAAACAUGUCGAAUUAUAAAAAAUUUAAUUUGAUAUAUUUAAUGAACCUGUGUUAAUCAUAUUGUGUGUAGAUCUUUAACUCAUUUAUUUAAUUAUAUUGUAUUCAUGUUUAUCAUGUAAUUGUUAAUAUUUUAUAUUUACAUAUAAUUAAAAUACGGGAUAUGGGAAAACGAAUUUUGAGAUAUUACUUUGUGUUGGGCUCAAAAUAGUUGGUCCUUUUAAGUUCCGUUUUAUGCAGGCCCGAAACGUUUUAGCUAGAGUUGUUGUUUUAGGUUGUUUCUUGGGCUUUUUCCUUCCUUAGGAACAAAUCUAUUUUAAAUUUAUUUUAAAAGAUUACACUUCAAAUAGUGCAAUGAAAAUUUUAACUGCAGUAAAGCAGUUGCAUCUAACUUUACGUGGUAAAAGAUAAAAAAUGUUAAGUGUCAGAAUGGUUUAUCAUGGCAAUCAAAUCUAAUAAGCCAGCUAAAUUUUAAAACGGAAAGUAGAACAUGUCCCUUACAAGAUUAGGGUAGACAUGUAGAAGAGAUCAUUCAAUUGUUGCACCAUUGUAAAGCAGUGGAGAUCAGACUAGUUUACAGAGGAAAUUACUGUAGCACCUAGUAUUGGUAAAUUUCAAUAGUUUUCACAUGUUCUCCAUGCGUAUAUUCGCACAAUUCUUCCUUUACAUUACUUAGAAAAUAAAAACAUAGGUAUUCAUUGAAAAUUACAGAAAUUCUCAGUUUGGCUCCGAAAUAAAAACCAUAAAGAGAAAAAUAAAUAAUGAAUCAAUAAUAAAUUUGGAUAAAUUAAAACAGGAUAACAUGAACAAAAGAAAGAAAGAUCUGUCAAAGCUGUUUUUUGUCAUUGGAAUUGUGAAGGAAAUUAAUGCAGAAAAUUUCUCAUUGGAUAGACAUGGACAUUUUGUUCGAUUUAGAAUUCAAAGGACAAAAUUAUCCGCCACAGACAUCGUGAACUAUAUAUCGAGUUCGAGCUUUUUGGUACAAUUGCUUGCCCAUAAUUCUUCCGUCAGAUAUGCUCAUUUUCAGCAAUAUGAUCGUCAACACCAUUAUGAUCUGGCUUUGCAAAUAAAAAGAGGAGGUAGAAGAGCCACACUUGAUGCAAGUAAAUAGGCUCAAGGCAAGUCUAGGUCUUCCUGUUCCUAUUCUUCAAUUUUCAUAUCCAGUCACAGGGUCAGAAUUUUAAAUUUAAAAAAACGAAAAUUCAAGAAUAUCAAUAUUUUGUGAAAGAUUCUUUUUCUUGAAAUAAGUUUCAUGACAAUUUAUUUUCAUAAUUCCAAAAUUUUUAAAUUAUUCAAAAGAAUCAAUUUUAAUAAUUUACUUAAAAUAUAUUUUUUUCUAUUACUACAUGUACAUCUAAAAAAAGUCAAGGCUUCAAGAAAACGGGCCGGGGCCUAAAUUUGGCAAUGGGUUAAAUGGACUUACCUUGUCCUGCCACAUGAUAUCUUUCAAAAUUAUGCAAAAUUUAUUGGUUUAAUCUUAUUAUGUAUUUUGUAAUUAUGAUUAUACUGUUUAUUUUAAUUUGAAGGAUUAUUUAAAUAAGAAAAUGCAUAAAAAAGUGUUAGUGAAAUUCUUUCAUAAGAAUUGAAAUGUAAAAUUCAAUUUGGUAUUACACAAUUGACAAUUGUUGAUUACCUACAGUCUUCAUGGAUUUUGGCUUCUAUUGCUUUCUUAUCAAAUUCCCUUGCUAGAUGACUCUGGUUUGUUUCUCCUCUGUUUUGAAAAUUGUACAAUCGCUGUAUAGAUUGAUUAUAGCAGCUUAUAGUGUUCAACUCACGUUCCCUGUAGCCUUUUUUGAAUGUAAGUUUUUUGUAAGGAUGUAAUGGAAUAUACUUAUCUUUUUUCCUUUGAAAUAUAAUUAUCUGACUUUCAAAAAAAAAAAAUCAACCAACUUAAGUUAAGGAAGUAAUUUUAAAAAAAAUAAUAAUUAUUUUUUUUUUUUCUUUUGAAAAAUCAGCAGCGUCGAGGGAAGCCAUGACGCAAGCUAGAUAGCUCGCUUCUUAACCAACUUAAGUUACGGAAGUAAUUUGAAGAUUUAUAUGCCAAUUUUGGCUACUAGAAAAAUGCCUUGACUAAUUUAAAAAAAAAAACGAGAAAUUGCUUAUAAGUCACCUUUUCCAGUCAAGUCUGUUAAUUAUACUUCAACAAAUUAAUAUGCAAUACAGGGAAUAAUUGUGAAAAGAAAAAUACAUGAAUUCAUAUUUCUUUUUUUUUUUUUGAAAGGCAUGUUUUUUACUAAUUGAAUAUGAUAUUUGUUGUUAAGUGGUGGAUCCAUAUACGUUGAUAAGAUCAUUUUCGGAUUGAUUUGCAUAUAUAUAUAUAUAUAUGAAUUAAUUAAAUCAUUAGAAAAGCCACAUUCUCGUGAGCUAUACUUUUGAGCAGUAAUUAGGAAUUUUAUUAGAAAGUUUCAUCUCCAAAAGAGCACUAGGAAUGAUAAAUAUCACAUGCUUGUAAUAAUAAAGGAGUGUGAACAUUAUCUCACAGCCACUUGACCAAAGAAGUCAAGAUUUAUGAAUUGGUUAAUUAAGUUUGCUUGCUUAUACACAGCACUCCAGCAAUUUGUCAAUACAGAAUAUCACGAUGUCAAAAGACUCUUUUUUUCAACACAAAUUUUAUUAUUGAAUUCAAACUCUAAACCAAUUAUACCUAUAUUUUAUAUAUUUUUCUGCACAAAUUGUCUUAAUUAGGAUAAAAAUACUAUAUUUAUUCUUUUUUCAUGACACUUGACAUAUAAUUAAUUUACUUACGUGCAAAAUUACACGUAAAAUAAAUAUUAAUAAUUGUCGUAACGUGCGGGUUCGGGAACUCGUCUGCCAGACGCGGGCGAAAAUUAAAAAUCUGGUAGGAGUCGCCACCAAUCUUUUUUAUCUAAGGUGUGAUUGGUCACCUAUUAAUCCGAUUUUAAUCGACGAAGUCCUAAAUUAAUUUUAGGCCCGUCGAAAGAACGAGAACUGGUCUACAUUUUUAGAGAUGAGUUCGGGAGUACGGUUACACACGGAGAAGGGUUAGCACCUCCGUGGCGCCCGUUCCACGAACGGUACCAUUUAAUCUUAAGUUAUCUUAAUAUAGCCUACUUUUAAUUUAAUCCUUACGUGUUAAUUAAAUUUUUGUUAAAUUGACUGACUAAGAGUUUUUAUUUGGUUUGACGUAUGCACAUGAUGUAAGCGUAAAAUGAUGUCAUGACUUGUUUAUUUUAAAUGAUGGAGUCGGUAAUCUUUUAUUGGAAAAUUAUUCGAAGACCAUCCCAACGCUUUGGUGAAGUCUCGAAAUUCUCCUCACCUAGAGAUAUCCCCGGAAGAACUCGUCUCUACGAGCUCCUCGGGGAAAUCCCCAUCAUCGGGAUUUUCGCGCCAUUUACAAAAUAAGAGUGGCAUGCAAUGACAGUAUAAAAUGAUAAAACCUAUAUGACCGUAUUUAUUAAUUAGUUGGUUGAUAAUAAUAACAUGCUUAAUAAUUUCAAGUAAUUUAUUGACUUAUUCAUAUAUUUAUCGUUAUUAUUCAUCAUUAUUAUUUAUCAUUCAUUUUUUUUUAAAACAAAAUUUAUUCGGACUAAUGGGUAUAGGGAUAUAGAAUCCGGAUUUAUCCCGACGCUUCGGUGAAAAUUCGUUUCGAACUCCGCACUUUAAGUGACCCACCUGAAAGGGACAACUCUUUGCCCCUUUUUAGGUGGUAAUGCUCAAAUAAUUGUUCAAUUUAUAUUAUUUAUUAUUAUUAUUAUUUUAUUUAUUUUUUUAUUUUUAUAUAUAUUUGUAUCAUGAAUUAUUAUUAUUAUUAUUUUAUUGUUUGCAAGCCUCUAAAUAUAUUUAUAACAUAAAUAUUUUUUAUUCACUUAUUAUUGUUAUUGUUGUUAUUUAUGUAUGUAUUUUUUUAUUUUAUUUUAUUUUAUUUUUUUAAUUUUUUAUUAUAUAUUUUAAAAACAUUCUAUAGUUUUCUUUUUAAUUUUUACCUAAUAAUUAAAUAAAUUGAAUAAGCCCAAAAUGACAAGCCCAAAUCAAGGAAGAUGGAUUACCUUUCUGGGCUUGGAUUAGCCCAACUCGGUGGCCCGCAGGAGCCCAAGUCCACUACACCCGGUCUGCUUUUUGAAGCCCACGAGGCAGAUCUCAAAACGCACCGUUUGGUGCCUGUGGAGCUUGCUCAAAACGACGCCGUUUAUGGCCUGGACUCUCCGACUUCAGCUACAACGAUGAAACGGCACCGUUUUGCUCUCUUUCCUUUGGGUAUAAAAACCAUUUUUUAGCUUUUUUUAUUCAUUUUCCAAUUUCUUUUUCUCUCUCUAGCCGCCACUCUCUGCCUUCUCUCUAGAAAAACCUUUCCUCUUCGUUGGCGCCGGCGUCCCGUCCCCUUUGGCUUCUCUCUAGCCGACGGCCCAGACGUUCCUCCCUUUCUCCCUCGAAGUCUUCUCCCCUUUCGAUCGGCGGAUCUGGCACCCCAUGGUUCGAUCGACGGUGACCUAGCCAGGUUUAGGCCUUCCCCUGUCGGUGGCCGACGCUCCACAGAACCAACCUUCCUUUCACCGCUCACCGAUCUCUCUCUCUCAAACCGAACCGAAUCCCCCGUUGAAACCCCGAUUCGAUUUUUGGCUCCCCCCUUUUUGAUUGAUUGAUUUUUGUUGUUUUUUGUGUGGCUAGGUAGCUUCUGCUGAUGGAUUUUUUGAUCUUCGAUUUUUUGUUUCCCCUUGGUGUUUCCUUGGUUUUACAGGAUCCUUAAAAAGUCGGGUUGUCCAAAAAUUUGGACAACCCGACGAUGGGGUUCUGACACCAGAGAGUUGGUGGCCAGAACCCCAUCAUGUGGGGUGGUUGAUGAAGGGAUGGUUGGGCGUACGCCCAGCCAUACCUCUCUUUUUUUUUUCAUUAUAUUUUUCUUUAUUUAUUUUUUUAUAUUUUAUUUUAUUUUAUUAUAAUUUAAAUUUAAAAUUUAUUAUUAUUUUUAGGUGUCUACAAUAAUGUAACAAAAAAUUAAAGAAUCACUCCAUCUAAAAUUUUAAACCCAUAAAUUAAAAUCUUAAUAUGUAAUAAUCUUUAAAGAAUCAAAACACACUAUUUUUAUUCUGUUGUUCUAUCAUUAGGGUUCAAAAAAUUCGUAAUUGUAAUAUAAUAUAAUGUUUAAUUUGUUGAAUGGCCAGAUUUUUUAUCCAACCAAAGGUAAAAGUAUCAUUCAAAUCGGAAGUACGUAGGAUAUAAACGUGGGGAAGAAAACCUAAACCUCAAAUAUAACUAAAGAAGACAAAAAAAAAAAACAAAAAACUCAAACCUCCAAAAUAAAACGAAACUUGAAAUACAUGAUCCCCUGAAGCAAAUAAGGCUAAACAAUAUAGCAGAAAAUAGAGAGAGAGAGAGAGAGAGAGAGCAGUUUUCCGUCCUGGGGCUUCACCAAGAUAAAAGGCAAAAGCUUGGAGAAAUUUGAUUUUGAAGUUUUUUUUUAAUUCAUCUGGGAAUUUAGGACAGAUUUUUCACUGUUACAAAACGCCCGCCAAUUUGACAUUGAUCAGGAUUGAACUAACAAUUAAUGAUUGAAUGUACAUCGAAAGAAUUUAACAAAAAAUGAAAAAGCGAAAGAAACAAAUUAAAGCUCUUCAAAAUUGGUUACAAAAAAGAAUGGAGCUAAAGAUAUUGCAGUUCAUCUAUUGUUUACUCUUCUUUCCAUACAUGAAAUCAUCAGCAGCUUUAUCAUGGUUCGCACCAUCUUUUCUAUUGACAUCAAAUAGAACCAUAUAUUCUCAAUCGUACUUCUCCGUUAAACCACUGUUGCAGAGCGAAGCUCAGUGACUCGUUCUCUGCAAUGGUAGCGUGGCAAACUUGAAUUGUUGAUACAACAGUCUUGCUUAACAUGGCCUUUCACGAAUUCUUCUACUCCUUUUUCCCCGUCUGCCAGUAAAUGCGGCGGAGGCGGCUCGUCAUCACGUUCCCACUCAUCAAUAUCCAAUCCCCAUUCUAUGUAAUCCACCCUCGCCACUGCUAAAGCUUCUAUUGAAACUGACAUGAUUUUAUGUAAAGCGUAGCUAGAAUGUCUAAAAACUUCAGUUCCUUUAGAUAUUAAGUAUGAUUCUAAUAGAACUCGCAUGGCUUGAUGGUUUUAAAAUGACCAGAUAUGUUGUAUUUAUAGGCUGUUUAUUCCCUGCAUGCAGAUUGACUUUCUUCUCCAAACUAAGGGGCUAGCCUCCAGAGGUGGAGCGGAUGUUUCCCUGGGAAAAAUAGAGAAAGUAAAGGGAUAAAAGUGUUUUAAUUUGAGAGUAUAUUACCUUAUUAAUUCAUAAAUGAAGUAACAUUCUCGUGAUUGUACGUUUGACCAAAGCAUCCCAAGUCUUUUGCCUGCUGGACAAUUCUCGUGAUUUGGGAAAGUCAACAUGAUGCUAAGCAGCUUGAUAGCUGUAAUUAACUGAUUCUCUCUUCAAGGCACUCAGGUGUAAAGAAUGAGAAACAUAUGCCUACGUUACAUAUUAAACAUAUGAAAGAUUAUUUGUCCCUAUGCCUGACGUAACUAAUGAGAUAAACAACAUGUUCCUUAAUUAGAUUAUAAAUUUUAGGAUUUUAUGGCUUGAAGGAAUUUGAAGGGCGGGGAAUAAUAUAAAUAAGAUUAUAAAACUCAUUUCUAAUUUUCAUGUAGACAUUAAAAUGGUUAAAAAAACUUGAAAUUUCAAAUCCGAAUGUUGGAAAAAGAAAAAGAUGUUUUAGAUGAGAAAAACUUCUUUUAAUUCUGUAAUUUAAAGUUAUAUAUAUAAAAAAACAACAUAAAACUCCUUUCUUAAAUCAUGUUGACAAAUUGCGAUUUUAGUAUUGUAGAAAAUUUACAAUAAGGAUCAUCACAAAUUUUUUUUAUUAUAGUUUUUAUUUGCAUUAGAAACUUCAACAUAUAUGUACAAAUAAAUAAGUACUCACAAUCAAUAAACAUGUUUAAACAAUUUUUUUAACCAUAAUUAGGUUGACAUGAUUAUAAUUUGAAUAUGAUUAUUUUUGACACAUGUAAAAAAUUUAUGAAUUAAUUGAUUAAUCAUGACUUAAUUAAAUAAGCUGUUCUACAUAUAUCAUAUAUAUCUUGUAGCUUAUGUAAUAAAUAGGUCGUGCAAAUGUAAGCUUUUCCGCUAUUACCAAUUUGACAACUUUUAACAUGUUGGAAAAUGUUGUAAAUGUGUAUAGAUGGCAUAGGCAGGGGUGUACUGAAGUUUUGAAAUCUUUGGCCAAGCUGUGGUUCAAAGACACGAAAACUUCUUUUUGUCUCUCAGGGGUAAACCUUCAAACACAUGCGUGUUUUUCUGCCAAGCAUGCUAACUGCCUUUAAUCAGAUUAAGCAAUUAACAAAUAGUCAACCUUGUCUGUUUAAUUAACUGUUGCCAAUAUCUAUAUAUACUUAAUUGACUCUUCAUUAUUCAACAAUGACUUUCCAAUUCCACUUGUCUUAGUAUUCUUCAACAAUGAUUUUCUAAUUAGUCUUUACAAUAACAUAGACCGAUAGAAUAUAGAUGUGAUUAAUUUCAACACACAUGUAUCAUGAACGAAGAAGAAAAUUAUGAGUUCCCAAACCAAAGGUUCAUCCAACAUUCAAGACUAGAAAAGAGAGACAAGGAAGAACAGAUUCGGAGUUGACAUAAACAUCAUAAUAAAAGCACUGUUCUGGUGAAUCGUGACUGAUCAGGAGUCUUAUUAAUUGACUGCGAAAACAUUGUUCAAUGCUGAUUUUAAUGUCAGCCGCACGAGCCCAACUAUGGAACUGAUGUGUUGAUUAUAGCCAAAGCCGGAGGGUCCCGCUCCCCCUAACAAUUUUAAAAUUUUUAUAUUUAUUUUAUUUUUUUUGAAAAUUUUUUAUUUCGUAUCUAUUAAAAUUUUAAAAUUUUUUAAUAUAUUUUUAUUUUUUUAAAAUUUUUAAAAUUUAUUUGUAAAUAAUUUUUUAUUUGGUGAAAUGUCCCGCAAUAAUUAUUCAAGAAUUAAUUUUAAUAGACUUAGAACUAAAAUAAAACCUAUUACAAUAGAAUUAUACCCAAACCUCACUUCUCAAAACCUUACAACUAUCACCUCUUGUUCUCUCUUUUUUCUUUCCAAAUAGAAACAAAAAGCCAUUUUUUUUUCUUAAACUUUUUUGUUUGAGCUUUUUCUGUGCAUAAAACCUAUAGUCUAUAACUUAAAUUUCAUGUUACAAUAAUUGAUAAAUUUAGUUUAUUUACUGUUAUUUUAUUUUUAAUAUUUUCAACUUUAAACUUUUUCUUAAUUUAAUAGUUUCUAUUUAGUGAUUUUAAUUUAAAAUUUAUCGUCUUAGUCAUUUUUUGUUGAAAGCAACAAAAUAAGGAUUUAAUUAACCACUUACAGUUAAUUAUUACUUAUUUAUUUAGGGAUUGCUUAAUUGCUUUCCUAUAAUUUUUUUUUUGCUUAGAUUCUUGUAAACAAUUAAAUUUUUUAUUUAAGAAUUGUUUCCUCAUUGAAUUGUUUAUUGAUAUUAUAUUUAAUUUUUGUGAUUAAUUUUAGGAAUUGCUUCUCAUUGAAUUGUUUAUUGAUAGCACUUAAUAUUUUUUAGGGUAUUGCGUCCCAUUAAGAUUUUUGUUAUUAUAUUUGUUAAUUUUUGUUUGUUGUUAAAGUUUAUCUAGGAAUUGAGAUUAUUGUCGUUAUUAAAUUCUUUAUGAUUAUAGUAGUUAAAUAUUUUAAGUAAAUUAUUAAGAUUGAUUCCUUUGAAUAAUUUAAAAAAUUUUUGAAUUAUGAAAAUCGAUUGUCAUUAGGAGACUUGAAUCUUAUUUUAAGAAAAAGGGUCUUUCACAAAAUGUUGACACUCUUGAAUCUUUGCUCUUUCAAACAUGAAAUUCUGACUCCAUCACUGAUUAUAGCAAUGAUGCAUGUAUAUAGUUAGCUGAUCUUUUAUUUUUUUCGAGAAAUUGAAGUACAUGGAUAUUAACUAAGAAACAAAAAAGAAGUUGACAGCUAUAAACUACAGCCCCUAAAUAGGAAUAACGAAACACCAGAUUAUUAAGCAAAUUUUUUGUGGGAUUUGGGUUAUUUUCAAUUUUCAAUUGUUAGGGAGAAAUAAAUAAAUGUGCUUGAAAACAUGAAAGAGCUCUUUCAAUAAUAGCUAGAAAUCAUAUAGUCCAUGACAAAAAUUUGGGAUAUAUUGAAUUGAAUUUGCCAAUGUAAUCUUAAUCAUGCUUUUAGAGCAACCUGCUCUUGUAUUUUCCUUUGGUUUGAAAUUUAAAAUCAUUUUCAACAUUAGAAGAAUAUAAAAGAAGUUGGGAUUUUUAUAUAUUUAGAACAAAUUCUUUUGUUAUAUUUUUUUAUAAUUAUUUAAUUACAAUCAAUGAUACGUGUGAUUUAUUUAAUUUUUUAUGAAACUCGCGUAGUAGAUAUCAUAAAAUUUAAUUAUAAAAAAUGCAUUAGAACAAUUGUAAUUUAUCAUUCUCUAUCCAUAAGAUUUAUCAUCUUUAAACUGGUUAAAGAUGUUACUUAAUCAAUAAAAAGGUUGCAAUGGGUAUGGUUAUUCAGUUCAUCAGCCAUGAGCAAGGAAAUGGUUUUUACGAGCUUCAUAGUUCACACAUGUUCAUUGCAUUCAAUUUGAUGAUAAGAAUUAAUUAAGAAGUAAUCGGAAUCAAGUUUGUUUUCAUGGCAUGGCAUCAAGAUGACUUUAGAAAUCUCUUCCUCCGAACAAUGCUUGCAAUCAUUAAUAGCCCAUGAUGUAUCUGACCAUCGGCUUUGUUGACCUUAAGCAAUGUAUUAUCCUCUCAACCAAUGCCCUUCCUUGAGACACUCUUCCACAGCUGCAUUCUAGAGUGGCGCCUUUGCUGGCGUUAAUGUCAUCAGAAUCGCCAUCAAAAUCUUCCGAAGAGUGGGUUAGCGAGCUAGUGCCGGUGACUUGAAAGCCACGUUUCGCAACCCUUUCCGGUUCCUCUUCUUCUUCCUCUUCUGCUAGUAAAUGCCGAGGAGGCCAUUCCGAAUCAUCAUCAGCUUCCCACUUUUCAAUAUCCAAACCCAUUCAUUAUAAUCAACCCCUGCCAUUGCUAAAGCUUCAAUUGAUACUGUCAUGAUUAAUUCGGGCAAAGCUGCUAACUUAAGGCUCCAAUCUUUCUUCUUUCACAAUCAAAACUCCUAGCAAGUAACUAGCAAGCUAACAUAAAAUGACCAAAUUGAAUUGACAGCUAGUCGCAGUAUCUGCGGCAUGAAGACAGAUAUGUAUAUAAACAUGAUCCAACUUGCUUCCUAUCAAGGAGAAUUCAAUCUAAUUUUCUUCUCAGAAUUCACGGCCUUGUAUACAAAUCAAACGGGAUUUUUCUCUUCUAACUUCGAGUGCUGCAGAAAUGAAAGUGGAGAAGGGUUAAAUUUAAGCAUCAUAUAAGAAGUGGCAUUCCCGUGAUCAUUUAAUUGACCAAAAUAUUUUCUUCAACUUGUCGUUCAUGGCUAAGGGAUAUUGUUACCAAGUGAUGUUGUACGACUAAAGCUAUGAUGCAAGCUCGACACAGACACGUGAGUGAUAGAUCACCCACAUGUGUCUUAGCCUGAAUCAAAAAUGGAAGAAAAGCUUUGAUUGAUGACUGUCAAGGUAAAACCAGACUUUGGAUUCGAAAAGCAUGGACUGCAAUUAGGAAUAUGGUUCCAUACUUCCAGAACAUUUAGAAUUCCUGAUAGUAAAGUUGUAGCCAAAUUGAAGGACAAGAACAUUCAUUUUCUCUAAUGUAUUUUUAGUUCUAUUAAACUGCCUAGAAGGCCGAAAGAGGAGAAUCCUUAAAAUUAAUUUUCAUAAUAAUAUUAUAUGAAACACUAUAUAGAUAUUCACAUGGAAACAUGAAUACUACUCUGUUUACAAGACUCGUGGGUGAUUGCAAUUGGGAUACAGAGUGAUUGGUUGGUAGAGAAUCUACAGAUGGCCCUUUUGGUGAACUGUUCCAUAUAUUAAAGAUAGUAGAUGCUUGGAUAUUUCUGUUUCAAAUACCUAAGUACACUGUAUUUAAGGAUUGAUCCCAUUAAUUCUCCGUAAAGAAUCUUCAUCGACUUGCAGGGAUUAUACACCCAGUUUACAACAACUUUCUCUGCAUAGACUUGCAAUGCAAGAAACAGAAUGUUUUUCUUUUUAUUUUAGGGAUUGUUCAGCAAGCAACUUUCAUCUCUGUUCUAUCAAAACAUGGUCAGAGAGUUACUGAACCCUUGGAACCGUUGAUUGAGACCAUGUCGCAGUACAGAUUUCAUCAAACUUUUGUUGUAUCCCAAAGACAAAUUUGUGCAGCAGUGCACACGUAGCAAAGGACUCUCCUUAUUUUAAUAUUUUGCCCGGGAGGAAAAUGAUAGAAUUGGCAAAGAAGGAAAGGGAAGGCCAUUCCCAUCAUCAAAGAGGAAUGCAAACUCUGAAACUUAUCGAGCCUGGUAUUCUCAGCCAACUAUCUCAAGAUAACCGUCAUAUACAGUUCAGAGUUCAGACGUAGCUUUCACUGAAACCAACAAACAGCAAGACAGGUAAAAAAAGAUGGGUUCUAAAUACCAAAAUUAACCUCUCAAUCAUAACAGCACCACCAGGCCUAGUUCUUCCAUGCUGAUAGUGAUGUCCAAGAAAAUUUUAAAUGGCAUACACAGUAUAUUUCCCCAAAAACAAAAGUAUCGAAACACCAUACAAAGAGUUUGAACACAUUAUAUUUAAUGGUUUAUUUAUAGGAACCUGAAUAUGGCCACAAUGAGAAGCCCUAGGGUGAACAUGAAGCCAAUGAAACUAUGGGCAAGAACUAAACCGAACAGGAAAACUUGCAGCUCCUCAUCCAGCCGUUAAUCUCAUUUCUUGAUAUGAAAUGAAAAUCAUCUCAAACAAUUGGAAAUUCAAUGUAACAAGAGUUUAUCAGCAAAAUUAUGUCAAGGAUUCAAACAUUGGGAAACUUGGAAGUCUGUGCAUCUCUUGAUCUCUUCUUUUGGACCAAAUUCCACAACUCAACUAGGCCUGAAUUCCAAACUAGUUGGGGUUGGAUACAAGAAUCCAUUUUUUUCAUUCCAUUCAAUUGAGGACCAAAAGAUCUAAAGAAAUAGAUCCUCACUAAUGGCAUCGUAUCAUGUAAUCAUAUCUUGAUCAAAGCAGCUCAAAAGCAACUUCAUUCAUUAUAUUGGGCUCCUUAAGAGAUUCCAUGAAGCAUCCAGCUAAACAGGAAAAGUACGGGUACAAUCCAAAGCAUAGAUUUUAUGAGUCUAAGCUUCACUUAGUGGUUGUGUGCGAGGUCAAGGACCAAGGUUCAGCUCCCCCCCACCCCUUCCUCUGCCUAAUCAAAAUGUAUCUGAACAAAACUUAAAAUAAUAAGAGAAAAAAAAGACAGACAGAUAGAAGAGACUUGUUCCUCCAAAAUUCUUCCAAUCCAUAUUAGCCGAUCUCUAGUAAAUAGAUAGCUAGUGAAACUCACUAUCCAUAAGCCUACCAAGUUGAAAAAUUAGUGGGGACAAAAGAGCACUAACAUAAUUCUACAACUAUAAUUGGAUGCCUUUAACUCUCCAUAAUUCAUUCUCUAAUUUGAAGUUUUAAAGAUCAAAAUGAACUUUCUCAGCCGUACAAUUUACACCAAGUAUAUCAACCACUAUACUCUCUUAUGUCAAAAGGCUAUACAAGCUAGAACAUUCAAUCUGCAAGUCACAACAUUGAUGAAACUAUAUUUAUCCACAAGGAAUCAACAGCCACAUUAAUCAAACAUCAUCCAUUCUUUAUUUCUGCAAGUAAACGAACACUAGGAAGAACAUGCUAUUGUCACAAGAAGUUAAGGGGGAUUAUUGGAAAAAUAAAUACCUACAGUCUUAUUACAAAGAAUUACAACAAACAUACACAUGAACAUAUAAGAAAACAAAAUUUACCUAUAUCAUGCCCUUGCCAAAAUGCUACAACCCAUCAAGCGACGGUGCCAACACAUCUUGCAAACAGUAAUCCUCAAAAGAGCCAAACCCAUCAAGCAAACCAUCAAAAAACCCAUCUUCCAACCACCCCUCCCUCUCCAUCAACUCCUCCUCCUUUUCCUCAUCUUCCUCCAUUGCUACCACUCCUUUCAACUUCCGAUCCUCCUCCUCCAUAACAGCUGGCAUGUGCCCUUCAAACAACGACACGUGUCCGAAAAGCUUAUCUUUCCUAGAAAAGCUAUUCCCACAACUACACUUCCACUUCUUACUCUCUUCCCCACCUCCACAAUGCUUCAAAUGACUCUUCAAAUCAGUAAAAACCGAAAAACUCUUCUUAUGACACUUAUUACAACCAUACAUUUUCGGACAAUGGCUUCUCUUGAAAUGAUUCCUUACACAAAUAACAGAUUUCAACGGCCUAAACUUGUCAUGUUUCUUGUUCCUGUUACACCCAUCAUAGGGGCACGAAAACCGGGUUUUCCGACCCCAAUUCUUCACUUCCCCUUUAUUACCUGUUUUUUUCGCUAACGCCUCGGGAGUUUUAUACUGAUUCCCAUGAGCUCUCAUAUGCAUCCGUAAAUUGGCGUCGCGCUUGAACCCUUUACCGCAAAUUUCGCAGAAAUGUAAAUGUUCCGACAGCAACUCGACCGCAUCUAACUCGAUUAUCUCGGACUCUCCUUCAUCGUAAUCGUCGACCUCGAGUUUCGGUUCUGGAGUCGGGUUCCGGAUUGGAGUCGGGUUUGGGUAAUGGGCUUUUUGGGCGCAAGAGAGGAGGGCCGCACCGUUGACGAUGAUUUGGUGGAUGGCGGACGCGAUUUCAGAGGAGACGAGAUCCAUCUCAUCUUUGGAGACCAAAGUGUUUGUGUUGACCGAUUGAGAUAGGAAGUGUUGCAGGGAAUCCAUUCUCGUUUUAACCGUUGAAAGGUUUAGAAGUGGGACACGCGGAUCGGCAUGGCCGAAGGUUUCUUGUUGCCGGAGAGAGGGUCUUCCGCCGCUGGGAUGUUCCGGCGAGAUCCGAAAAGGUUCUCCGAGAUUCGACAUUUUUUUUUUUGCGCAGAAGUGAAGUUCGAUAAGCUUAAACAAAAAUAACAGAGUAAAAGCUUUGUCAUUAUAUUUGACUGAAAAAGACAAAAGAGCAACACUAGAAAUGCACGCUGGGAUUGACACGUGCGGGUUUCAGAUUACAUCUUGACCGCUUAAACAGUCGAUUGGCGGCCAUGGGCCAGGGAAACCACUGGGGCCAUUAUUGGACUGGAACGUAUACUUUUCUUGGAUCUAGUCGAAUAAUUGAGUAAAAUAAAAGAGCAAGAACCAGAAAUUCUGUUUUGGCUGGCCACCGAAACAUAAUUUUAAGAUAUAUUACGAAGAAAAAUUGGCUAAACCAAUUGAAAGCAUCGAAAUUGAGUUUGCCAGCCUGUCCAAGAAGACUAGCACGUCGUUUUGUAGCGGAAAUGAUAGUGUGGAUGACGCGAGGGAUUACGACCGUAAAUGGGAACGGUUGAGCAAAGGCAAGAAUCAAAGCCGAAGACCAACGUCUUAUCGAAAAGACGAAGACUCCGCUACUCUUCACUAUUUUUUUAACUUUUCAGAGUAAUUAAAGCAGUUCGAGGUCAAUGGGCCUAAUUGGGCUUCACUUUUUAAAAAGGGUGUUUUACUAAACUCAACGCAGCCUGAAAGAAUGUAGAAACAGAGGGUCAGGCCUAGGUCAAGUUGGGCUUCACAAUUCAAAACUAGUACGUUUUCCAUUAUAUGAAUAAAUUAAUCUAAAAAUAUCUUUUUUUUUAUCUAUAAUUGUGAUUUUUUUUUCAAUAAGCAGUUUGUGUUUUAUUUUUUCUAUUAUCACUUUGUAGAUUAAUUUUUUUUUUUGUAAAAGGAAAAUUCAAUUAAUCAAAACAUUAACUUACACCAUUCUAGUACAAAAUAUGCCUAGUUUACCUACUAAUAAAAUAGAAGAAAUAUUUAGAGGUGGAACAUUAAAGAUGUGCAAACCUAAUUCUAAGUCUUCAUAGUUUGUGGCCAUCCAAUCAGCUACUCGGUUGGCCUCACGAUAUACGUGAGUAAUAGUGCAGUUCCAAUCUCAUUGUAUCAGCUCCUUAAUCUGCCUUAGUAAAUUUGCACAGGGAUCCCGUGAAGAGUUCGAGUUUGAGAUAUUCUGAAUAGCCACCAUUGAAUCCGUUUCUACUUGCACCUUGUUAAAACCUCUCUCCCAACAUAACUUAAGGCCUUGAAGAAUGGCCUAAAGUUCUACAACAAGUGGGUAUGUUACACCCACCUUAUGAACAAAACCAAAAAGCCAACUCCCUUCAUCAUCUCUUACCAAUCCCCCUGCAGUAGAUUCUCCAAAAGCACCUUUUGAGCCGCCAUCCACAUUAAGCUUUACAUGUGAGUGAUUUGGUCUUGUCUAGGAUAUUGGAGUUGCUAUUUUGGAUUGAUGCUCUGUUUUCCCCAAAAUAUACCAAGCUUUUUUGGCCUUACACCAUAUAUACUGUGCCGCAUUAUCUGGCCAAUGACAAGAACAAUCAAACAUAUUUUUAUUUCUCCAAUGCCAGAACAUCCAUAUUGCAUGAGAGAAGAUGAUUCCCCAUGCAACUCCAUCCCAAAGCUUUGAUACAGAUAUGUUCUCUUGGAUCCAUUGUUGUAAGUCCAUACUAAAGAAAGUAUUUGAGCUCAAAUCAGGUCGCAUAUUAAGCCACAUAUUUCUCGAGCAGCUGCAGUCUCUUAAAGCAUGUAUUAAACUCUCAAUAGCAUUACUGCAUCUAAAACACAGACUCAAAGAAACCACAUUCCUUUUAAGCAACCACUCCGCUGUAGGUAAAGAUUCAUGUAAAGCUCUCCAAAGAAAAACUUUAACUUUCCUAGGACUUGUAAUCUUCAAAUCUGCUCCCAAUGUAUAGGUGUCAAUAUUGAAACAUCACUUUGACAGUCAUAUCCUGACUUUAUAGAAAAGACACCAUUAUUUGUCAAGGUCAAUACUUUUCAUCAAUUACACUACUAUUGGGAUCAAGAAAUAUAGCUGCUAUCAUCCCUAUUAUUCGAGCAGGAAAUAGGUGUUGUAAUGAAUGAAAGUCCCAAUUUCCAUAUUCAUUACAAUAGCUUGCCACAGGUCGAGCACUUUCCACUACAGAAAUUUCUCUAUUGGCAAAUUUCAAUAGAGGUCCACAAGCUUGCCAAGAGUCCAUCCAAAAUAAAGCAGAGUGUCCAUUAUUUGGGAUCAUACCCAGGCCUUUAACCAAAAUUUCUCUACUCUUCAAAAUGCUUCGCCAAGUAUAUGGGUCUGUUGUCUUAGCUUUAACUGAUAAAAGGUCUUGAUUUUUUAAAUAUUUACUUUUCAAAAUAUCAACCCAAAGGGGGUCCUUAUUUAUCCAUAUCUGCCACCCUAACUUAGCUAGUAAAGCCAAAUUAAACCUCUUAGUCUCCAUAAUCUGUAGCCUACCUAGUUCCUUUGAAAGACAAAUUGUUUUCCAACUGAGUGCAUGGAGCUUCUACACCCCACCUAAAUGACCCCAAAUAAAAUCCCUAUUAAGUUUAUCAAUUUCCAAUGCUACAUUAUCUGGGAUGAGAGUAGUUUGCAUUAUAUAUGAUGCCAUUGAGCUAGUAACAGAUUGAAUUAAAGAAAUCUUUCCCGUCAUCAACAGAUGUUUAUUGCUUCAGCUCUUCAAUUUUUUUUUAAAUUCUACUGCAUAGCUCCUGAUAAGUGGCUUUUGACACUUUUCCAUGAAUCAUCGGAGUCCCUAAGUACUUCCCAAAAUCCUUAACUAAAGGAACUUUAGCUAACUGGCUCAAAACUUUCGCCUUUAUGAAGUUAAUAUUAGCAGAAACUAACAUGGAGGAUUUUUCUAAGUUCACCUUUUGACCAGAUGCUUGGCAAAAUUUAUCAAGAGUCUUUAACAUCACUUGUUGUGAAGUUGCCACUCCAAAUAACAUGAGGUCAUCUGCAAAACAGACAUGUGAUAUGUUGGGUCCCCUUCUUGUGAAAGAAAGUGACUUCCAAUUUCCUUGUCAACUUCUUGAUCAAUUAAGUGGACAACUUUUCUAGGCAUAAUACAAAGAGAUAGGGUCAUAGAGGGUCUCCCUGUCUGAUACCUCUUGAUGGAGAGAAAGAUGUUGACGAAUUCCCAUUCCAAAUAAUGGCGAAAGUAGGGGAUUGCACAAUGUUCAUAAUUAAGGAAAUCCAAUUAGAAGGAAUUCCUAUUUCUGUCAUUACUUCACGAAUAAAACUCCAUUUAACUCGAUCAUAGGCUUUCUCCAAAUCCACUUUAAGCGCGAGGGCUCUUUCUCUUCGUUUCAUGGUCUUCAUUGUAUAGAUAACCUCCUGCACUACAAUAACAUUGUCUACAGCUUGCCUUCCUGGAAUAAAGCUACUUUGUGAUCUUCCAAUUAAUCCCUCAAGCAUUGGUUUCAACUGAUCAACUAAUAUUUUACUAAUCAAUUUAAGAGGAACAGAACACAAGCUAAUAGGCCAAAAUUAAGUGAUUUUCUCUGGAUUUUCAAGUUUGGGGAUGAGGGUAAUUAAUGUAUGAUUCAAAGCUGGUGGAACCAAACCUGUAGCAUAAGCCAUCUGAACAAAAUUAACCAAAUCAGCAUUGAUAUAUAGCUAGUUUUGUUGAAAAAAGCUCGCUGGGAAGCCAUCAUAGCCCGGACUUUUCCUUGGGUUCAUGUCAAAUAAGGAAUGUUGAAUUUCUUCACUAGAUAAUGCCUUUCCUAAAUCUAAAAUUUGAUCCUCAUUUAACCUCCAAUUUGACGAUACCGGUAAUGGGACCCGAACCCCAUCAUCCUUAUACAAAUUUUGAUAAAAGUUGACAACCAUCUCCUCUAGUUCUUUAGGAUCUGUACACCAUGAUCCAUCAUCUCUGCGAAAUGCAAUUAUCUUCUUCUUCCUUUGUGUGCUUUUCACAAGAGCAUGAUAAAACUUUGAGUUGCUAUCCCCAUACUUAAGCCAAUCCAAUCUAACCUUUUGUUGCCAAAUCAACUCUUCCUGAUAAAGAGCAAGAUUAUACUCCUCAAUCAAAGUAAUUUCUAAAUGUUGAAGGUAAUCAUUAGGUUCCGCAUCAAGUUUCUUUUGUAUUCCCUCGAGGUGCGCUAAUAACCUCUUUUUCUUCUUAUAUAUAUCUCCAAAUGUCUCUAAACUCCAUUUCUGCAAAUUUUUAGCUAAUCCUCUCAAAGUAAUAAACAUAUAUUUUUCUGUAAAGCUCCAUUUUGUUUUGAGAAAAUCAAUAAAAUUUGGGUGAGUCAUCCAUGCUUCUUCAAAUCUGAACUCCUUUGUAGCUUGUAAUAAAAGUGAGAAAUCCGUACACCGUUCAAGGAUCGGAUGGUGGUCAAAAUGUGUUCUUGGCAAAACAAAGGCGUCAGUAUGAAGGUAAAUUCUUCUCCGUUCUUCAUUAGCUAAUCCUCAAUCCAAAUGGACCCUGGUGCAAUCAAAGCCAUGUCUUUUCUUCCACCAUGUGUAUUUGGGACCCCCAGUUUCUAAUUUUGAUAAAUUGCAGUAACUUAUACAAUCUAGUAUAAGAUUACAAUGAGCUAAGUUAACUCCAGUCCUUCCUAUUUUUUCAUCAAGUGAGGUUACCUUAUUAAAGUCUCCUAUCACCAUCCAAGGAACUUUGUAGAUUAAUUUUAUUCUCACAAAAAUUAAUUUGUUAAUUUUAUCUAAUAAAAUUAACAAAAUAUUCUCAAUUCAAAGUUAAUUUAUUUAUUUACACUUAAGGGUGUUUUUAUAAUUUAUUAAAUUUAUUUACUGAUGUAUUAGGUAUUCUAUGACCUAGAAUGAUGUGAUAAGUUGUUUCUUUAUUUCCCAUAUAUAAAAAAAUUAUUCAUAGAAUGUUAAUUGAGAAAAAAAACUAACAAAUAUUGGUGAAUCCUAUAAAUGGAUUAGAUUGCAUAAAUAGCCUUAAUUAAAACUUAGCUAAUAAUUAAUUACUUUGACAAGUGUCUUUGGCAGCGGGUUGACAUUUGGAACUUCAUGAAACCUACUUUUCUUGCUUACAUUUCAGUCACUCUUCCUUCUAAUUUGUCAUAAAUUACGUCCAGGUUUCUUUCCAUGUAGAUCCAGUACAAUUUCCCAAAUAGACUCAGCAAUUUAUUUUAUUUGAAGUAAUCAAAGAUAAAGAAGUCCUUGGCAGUAGUAGUCACUACAAGAAAACAAGUUUUUUCCGAGGAAAAAAAUUUCGUUGGAAAUUUCGAAUAGAUUUUCAAUAAAUUUUGUCAGACAAUUUUUUAACAGAAAUUUUUCAACGAAAUUUUUUUGUUGAAAAUCCGUUGAAAAUUUUUUUUGUGAUCAAAAAAAUUUCAGUCAAUACCUUUUUCAACAGAAUUAUUUUCAAUGGAAUUUUUGUUGAAAAAACAAUUCCAAUGGAAUUUUUCGUCAGAAUUUUUUUUUCAACGGAAUUCUUUUCACAAUUGUUUCCAACGGAAUUUCAAUGAGAUAGCUUACAGAAAUCAUUCUUUUUCUAACGGAUUUUUAUCGAAAAGUAUUACCAACGAAAUUUUCAAUAGAUUUUUUCAUUGAAACUCUGUCGAAAAAAGGCAUUUUCAACAAAAAUCAGCCUUUAUUCAACAAAAAAUUUCGUUGAAAAUAGGCUGUUUUUUGGUAGUGAGUUCUGAUCCUCUCCAUUAUUCUCCUCUCCUUCCAUCAAGGUUUGCUUCAUCAGUCAAAAUUUGUUUAAUGUUUCAAAACCAAUCCGCGACAUAUAAUAAGUUUUACAGGUGAAAGUUUCAAGGGAAGACAAUCCUUCACCACCGCCUUAUCUAUGCAAGCAGCAUUGUGCUCUCAAGCAUCCCAAAUCCAAGUAUUGGGGAAGAUGCAAACUCGCUGAUGAUCGCUUUGUUUGCGAAUGUUGUUAUCUUUGCCAUCAUAAGCAUGGUCACCAUUAGUUUUCUGGUUUUUACGACUACCUGCAAAAAGUUCUUUUAAUAUGGCCCCUUAAUUAUUUUGGCUUUACUCAAAAGCAUGGAUGUAUGAACAAACGAAAUAGUGCUUUAAAAUUGAGGAUUUUAGAUGACAUGAUCAACAAGUAAUCAUAAUAUCCGUGUACAGUAUCAACCUGAUCAGUGAGAUUAAUCAAAUAGUUUAUAUAUGAUAAACUUAAAGAAAGGAUUAGCAUUUCACAGCCCAUAGCACUCUUGCCGCAAGAGGAAUAUUUGGUAACUAUUAUAUAUUGGACAGAGACAAUAUGGUAUUAAGCUGCAGCCUGCAAACCUUGUUGGUUUUUCAUUAGAGGGCUAUUAAUCUUUUGAAGGUUAGCUUUGCAGUGAUAUUUAUGGGCCUAUUGCCUGUUGCCGAUUGGGCCUUGGAUACAUUUAACUUUGUAAUUUUUGGACCAGAAUCUAAGGGAGCUCAUGAACCAUUGGGACUCGACUCUUCUUUCAUUUGAGUCUGGGCUAGAACCUAAAACUUCCUUUAAGUUGACUCAAGUGUUGUUUAAUUUUGGGGGAAAUUCCUUUUGAUUGGGAUAACAAGGCUCGGGUGCUGGAACCAAGAUCAAAGGUUAAGUUUAGAGACAACGGGUGAAGUGUGAGUCAUGUUUUCGUUGCAAAGUAAGGAGUGAGCAGCCCAAUUAUGAGCGACAAUUAUAGUGUAUAAAAUGGUCCAACAUAGAUAACGCCAACAUAUUAAUCAAUUCAUUGAUCCCAGCUAGCCGUGCAGUGGCAACCACAAGUUGUUCUAUUUUUAGAAUAAAACAUAUAUGCUUAACAGAAUCACUAGCGAUUAUUACAUUCUUAAUUACAUUAAUAAAAUCCAGAUGCCCCACCAGAAAACAACAGCUGAAGACAUCCUAAUAGAUAUAAGGUCAGAAGUACUGGCAGAAAAUUCAAUUAGUAGAAUUUUGACAGAGGUUAAAGCAGGCAAUUAUUGAACAUCCCAUUUCUGAUUAAUUAAUCCAUAGGCAACCAUCAACUGUUCAUCGUUAUCACCAACUACAUAGAUAUUAUAAUUGCGUUUGAUGAAUUUUAGUUAGGGCCCUUCUCUACUAAUCACAAUUUAGUGCAGUAAGAAGACUUAUAUACGAACAAGUUGCAUUAAAUUUGUCUUCUCUGGGUCCGUUAGUCUUAAAGUGGUAGGCAUGCGCCUAGAGAAGAAAAGCCGACUAUUAGCUUAGCUUCUAGUCAAAACUACGAAAGCCCUGCUGAAAUAUGUGUGGGAUUUUGGUCAAAUGUCAUUCAAUAAUUUCUUCUCAAGGAUGGUUGCUGUCGCUAAGCCUGCUUACAAUCUUUCCAAGGUAAGUUCAUAAUGGAAAGUCUUAGGUUUUUACAUCAGUCUUUUCAAACAUGACAAUGUGUGCAUUUACUGCCCAGUGCUUGGAAAUUAGGACAAGAUUCAUCAAACGAUUAUCUUGAAAUUAGCUCUUCUGCACUGUGCUAAAAGAUUUAUAUCUCCCUUAGUGAAAGCUGAAGCACUAUCCUCACAUCUUGAAAACAUCUUUCACAUUCAAGGCACUGGCAUUAGUCUUGGUUUCCAUCAAUUUCAAAACAUGCAGUCCAAGAUAAAGUCUACUUCUUCUGUUAUGCGCGAGGCGAAGAAUUUUUGGGCUCAAACUCUCCAAAAGUGAAAAGUCUCAGGUUGAACGUCACUCUUUCUGACCUUUAUUUCCAGUAUUAGAAUCAUGACAUAUUAUUUUCAUAGAAGUACUCAUGAAAAGAUUGGAACUUUCUUUAUGAUGUGGAUAAAUUGCUUUUUGCAAAGAGAUAAAAAUCAAAAAGGCAAGAUAAGAAGGAUGGAAUUGAAGACAUCAAGACAACCUCAUUCUGCUUAAACUAAUAUUAUUUGUUAGUUUAGGUCUGGAGAGGAAGGCUAAUAGAAAUUUAAGAAGUAUAUUCUACCCAAAUCACCUAAUUUUGAAUUCAAAGUUACCUAAUAUGUUUUUCAUUAUAAAACAUGGCAGGUUUUACUACUUGUAGUCCUCUUAUUCUUCAUCAAAUUCAAAGGUCUUAGUCUCCAAUCCUCACCCUUUGGUUCACUUGCACAAUUUCUUAUAGCCUCGUGACUUCCUUUUUUUUUUUUGAACAUGAAAUAUAAGUUAUUAAAAAGAUUUAAAUUAAUGUUUUAAUAUUCUAUCGUAUUGAUUUCAAGGCUCAUCAUGAUUAAUUAAAGUUACAAACUUACAAUCGAGACAAGAUAUCAUAACUUACUUGAACUCAUUUCAUUUGCUAUUGAUAAGUCAAUUUUGUGUUUCAAUAAUUUGAAUAGCAAAUUAAUUCUAAUAUUUUUAUCUAAACAUGAUCAGUAUAUUUAUAAAAUAUUGUUGUACUAUAUUUUGUAUAUGUAAACCCUUCAUGUAUAUAAAUAGAUAUAAGUUUUUUCUAUCUUAGUGUUUAUUAUUUUGAUGUGUCAUUGUUUGAUUUCUAAUGACCAUGAUAUGAACGUAUGGGAGAUUCACAAUGAUAUGGCUUUAAAUGAAAUGGAACGAGACAUGUACAAGAUGAUGUGAUAUACUUAUUUUAUACAAACUUUUCUCUACACAUAUAUGUGUGACCGUUUGUUUAAAUUAAUUAUUAAUAAUAAAGUAAUAUGAUGGUAUUCGAAUAUUUGAUUUAAGAAUAGAUGUAGGGUUUAUUGAUCUAAGAAAAAAUUUUAAAUGUCUUUUUAAUUUUAAAAUAUAUAUAAAAUAAAGUAUGACGGGGAAAGCAUAAUAUAAUAAUGUUCAUUACUUUUUGACUUUUAAGUAGGCAAUAAUUUGGGACUCUAAGAAUAUAAGGUAUCUGUCUAUGUGAAUUGUUGAUUAUUUUAUAACAAGGAGAGAGUAUCUCUAUAUCCAGGCUGCAAAUUAUUGUAAUUCAUCUAUGAGAUCUAAUCUAUAUUUAAAUGCCCGAAGACAAACAGUUAAAAGAGAAGAAGAACUUUGGAACACAUCUCAUCAAUUUUCAAUCAAAGAAAUAGAACUAUGUUAGUAAAUUAUCAACUUAUGGCUGUCAUUUACUUGUAUGUAGACAUGCAUGACCAUUUGACUUUAAUCAACAAGCUUGUAAAUUUUCUACAACGGCUCGAAUUGUAGCUUACUCCAGAAGAAUUCUCACUCAACACCAUUCCAUUUCGAUUAGUAUAUACAGCACGGCAUCUAAUUAAUCGCUUGCUUUCAAAGAAAAACUUUUGAAUAUCAGUGAGGUUAUUAAUGGUUCAGUUAAAAUUAUUAUUGCAGUCAAUCCCUUGUAAGAAAAGGAAAAUAAUCCAACCACUCACCCAAGAAAUAGUGCCAUUAGGGGUCAGCAACUAUUGUUUCAUAGCUGAUAGUCUGUUCAAAUUAAUUAAUCCUCAUUAAUUAAAAAAAAUGUUGAAAGAUGAGUACCUUUUAUUAGUUAAUUAACUAAGUCGCCUCCAUGACUAUGAUUUGGUGACUCAAAUUAAUGUUAGAUAAACCUUCAAUCCUUUGGAGGAAAAAACAUGAGAGAAUGCAACCUUAUUGUAGACUCCAAUUAGAUUCUAUGUAUUAUGCUUUAAAAUAUAUAUAUAUAUAUACAUAAAAGAAAUUUUACUUAUGGAUGAUCAUUAAGUCAAAUUCAAAAUCUAUCACAAACCUAACCCUAAUUUUGAAGGUCAGAUUCAUAGUUAAUCCAAAACCAGCUGCCUCCCCUGGCUAGGUCGGCCGCGACGCUACCUGCUGCUAGUUGUUUUUUGGAAAACAUGAACAUGUUUUGUUUUUUUUUUAAGAAAAGAUCUAGCAGAAGGGCAUAUAUGCUCAACUAAUACCUACAAAAAUUUACUCCAUCUGUCUGAAAAUGGUGGAGGAUUUUCAAGAUUACGGAAACAAAGCAAGAACUUCGUAUCAUGAUGACUCUUGCUUGUGUUCAGUUCGAAGCUAAUUAAUUUGUCGGUCAAGACAGUAUAUAUGCGACGAGAGGUUAUUUUUUCUGCUUUCAGUAUAGACAAGAACCUUCUAAUUAUUAAAUAGCAAAAGGCAAGGCAGAUGGAAAUUGGAAUAAAGUGAAAGCUUCUUCUUUUUUCAAAUUAUAAGUUGGUAGAAAGGAAAUAUGAACACUUAAUUGUAUAACUUCCUUACAAUAUUCAUCUAGCACUUCCUUUUUGUUUUAAAUGGAGAUCCAUCUAUUAGUUUAUAGAAUUGUGCUAUAGUUUAAAUUGUGUCAAAUUCCAUGUAUAUAAUCAAUAGUAUUAGAUUUGGAAAAAGAUAUCCAAAUCGGAAUAUACUUCAUCUUUAAGUUAAUAGAAACUAAGGGCCACUGCUGCUUACCACCUAGAACACUUCCUAAUAAUUUUUGUUUUUUAUGCAUUAACUCUAGGAAUUUUCAUUUAUUGAAAGAGGAUUAUAAGAAACCAUAAUGUAUGAAACAGUAAAAGAAUUUGAUGAUUAACAACGGAUUUGAUAUUAUUCUUUUAUUUUUCAUCUUAUUUGUGAAGGUAUUAAGUUUUGAUGAGUGUGAAAUUGCAAACCCCUCCCCUUUUUCCUUUUUCACUUCCAAUAAUUUUCAAUGAUAAUCAGGAUGUUAAAACCAAGUUUUUUUUAUUAUUUUUGUUUGCAUUUUAUUAUUCUUUCUUGAUAAAAAAUCAUAUAAAUUUGAUGAUUAUUGUUAAGGUGAAUUAAAAUUGAAAGCUCUAAUUUAAUGAUUAUUAAUCUACUAACUUUAAACUUUGUCACACACUACAAAAAAUCAUUGUAUUUUCAACAGAUUUGCAACAAAAUUUAAUUAAAAUUUUUAAAUAUUUGUUCCGACGGAUUUUCGUUGAAAAUUUCGUUAAAAAUUUGAGUUGUACAACACACAUAUAUUACUGUUUAAUAUUUACAAUGAAUUUUCAACGAAAAAUUCUGUUGAAAAUCCGUUGAAACUUUAAACUUAAAAAAAAAAAACGAGUGUAAUCUUGACAGUUUCCAAAACACUAUGUACUGUUUAAUAUUUUCAACGAAAAUUUUCAACGAAAUUUUUCAUCGAAACCGUAAACUCAUCAAACUAACCGGGUGUAAUCUAUAAAUUUUUCAACGGAAUUUUCAACUAAAUUUUCAGUUGAAAAUUUCUAAUGAAAAAUUUUGUUGAAAAUUUCAUCUUCAGAACACACGUUUUACUGUUUAUUAUUUCCAACAGAUUUCCAACGAAAUUUUCUGUUGAAACUCUAAACUUUUCCUAUGUAAUAUUUAACUUUUCCAACAGAAUUUCCCGUUGAAAAUUUCUAACGAAAAAUUCUAUUGAAAAUUCCGUUGAAAAAUGUAAAGAGUCAAUGAUGUAUUGAAAAAAGUAACUUUCCAACGGAAUUUUUCGUUGAAAAUUCGUUGGAAAGUAACUUUUUAAUGUAUCAAAGUGUUUAUGACUUUUUAAACUUUUCAACGGAAUUUUUCGUUGGAAAUAAUCAUAAUUUUUCCAAUUAUAAAAUUUAAAAUUUUUAUAAAUUUUAUUAAUUAUUGUUAAAAAUUAGAUAUUACUAAAAGCAAAUACAUAGUUAUUGAAGUAAAAUUUUUUUAAAGUUUAAAUAUGUUUUCCUUUUAAUAAUUUUGUAUAAUUUUUUUAACUUUAAUGAAUCAUACAAUAUUGAUUAAUAAUACCAAAUUAGGGUAAUGUUAUAUUAUUCCAAAAUUGAAAAAAAUAACUAUGUAAAAUUUUAUAUUUUAUAAAAAACCAUGAUAAGAUAUAAAAAUCAUAUAAAAAAUAUAUAUCACUUUAUUUACAUUUUAAUUGUAAUUAGCUAAUAUAUGUAAAUUAAGAUUGAAGUUUUAUAAUAAACUUAUUAAUAUUUGUGCUUAAAAAAUAUCAUUUUAUUAUAUCUAUGNNNNNNNNNNNNNNNNNNNNNNNNNNNNNNNNNNNNNNNNNNNNNNNNNNNNNNNNNNNNNNNNNNNNNNNNNNNNNNNNNNNNNNNNNNNNNNNNNNNNNNNNNNNNNNNNNNNNNNNNNNNNNNNNNNNNNNNNNNAUCUCACUAUGUUUUAUAUUGAGUAAUAUUAAAAAAAAAAAAACUUUUUGUACGAAAAUAAAAAAUAUCUAAAAAUACUGUUAUUGUCAAGACUUGAACCUUUGCCCACAUGUUAAAAAAGUUAAAAGAUAACCAUUUCUUCCACCAACCCAAACUUUCAUUGAAAAUUUCCGUUGAAAUCUUAAACUUUUCUUAUGUAAUCUUUAACUUUUUCAACGAAAAUUUUCGUUAGAAAUUCGUUGGAAAGUAACUUUGUAAUGCGUCAAAGUGUUUAUGACUUUUUAAACUUUUCAACGGAAUUUUCCGUUGAAAAUUUCGUUGGAAAAGUUAAAGUUACAUAGGAAAAGUUUAGGGUUCCAAUAGAAUUUUUCGUUGAAAUUUUUCCGCUGAAAAUAAUAAACGGUAAAACGUCUGUUCUGAAGAUGAAAUUUCAACAAAUUUUUCAAUGAAAAAUUUCGUUGAAAAUCUGUCGGAACAAGUAUUCAAAAAUUUUAAUUAAAUUCCGUUGUAAAUCCCGUUGAAAAUUUCCAACGAAAAUUUUCCAACGAAAUUUUUUCCGUUAGAAAUACAAUGAUUUUUUGUAGUGGUUAUGAUAUUGUAAUUUUAUUGUUUGUCAUUCCAGCCUAUUGGUAUAAUUGAAAAUUUUCUUUUCUGUAUUAUUGCGAUCAGGUUUUAUUGUUUAACAUGUUGUGGAAUGGUGUGUUAUAGCUUAUCCUGUGAGAAAUAAGCUUUGUUCUUACCAAAAUUGCUUAUUACAGUACUGAUUUGUAUCAUUUCUGAUGAUAUUUAAUGAAAUCUGAUUUGAUCGAGAAAAAAAAACCAUAAAUUCUUAACUCAAAUAAAUGAAGAAUUAUCUUAUCAUAAGAGCAAUCAUAAUUAACCUAGCUAUCAUUUUUUUUUUUUGAAAAGUUAACUAUCAAUAUUUUGAAUCCUAAUAAUAACACCAGCUUUGUUUUGUUGAAAAUUCUAUUCAGCAUAUAGGUGAAAGGUUUAUGUUCGAAACCACUAAUAAAUGAAUCGAUUGUGAUAUAUAUACUUAAAUUAGGCAGAAAAUUAAAGUACUCCUUCUGUUCUAUAUUUUUAUGAUAUUGAUAAAUUAUAAUAUUUAAUGUGCAAAAGUAAAAAAAGUUGAUUAAAAAUUAAUAUGGAAUAUGUAUAUAUAUAUAUAUAUAUAUAUAUAUAAAGAAAGAGUUGUAAAUGUUUUAAAAAAUGAAUAUAAUUUCAAAACAACUCAAAAAAAAAAGUAAAUAUUCAAUUUAAAAUAAAUAAUCAGUUCAAGUUAAUUAUUUUAACUCAAAGUUUUGAUGUUAAUUCUCAUGCUGUUCUUAGAAGAAAGGUACAACUCCCACCAAACAUGGACAUUUUUUUCUAGAUCAUGUUUGGUACUAUAACUUUUAUUAUCGAAUUUUUAAAGUAACACAUAGGUUUACGAUAUUUCCCAUGCAAUGUGCUGUGGCAAAUUAGUGGCGGUGAUCCCUUUUACCGGUCAGAAAAUUCUUCAAACUUUUUUUUUUGGUUUCCUAACUACUUGGGGUCCCCUUAUCAUUGACAAUCCUUUUACGUCACUUUAAUUUUUUUUGACAUCAAUGUCUUAUAUAGUCAACCCCAUCUCAAAAAUUAAUAAAGCUAUUAACCCAAAUGCCAAAUCACAUGUAACCAUUUUUCUUUUUUUACAAUCUUCUCUAUCAAGUUUAUCAUUUUUUAAUAUAUUUAUCGUUACUGUUCAAAUAUUGUACAUUUACCCAGUGUUGAUGAUUAAAAACGUACUAAAAGAUAAUGAAUAAAACAAAUAAAAAAUUAGGACUGGGCCUUUUCAUGUGUAAAACGUACUUAUUUGAUGAACAAGAUAGAGAUCAAAAUCAAUUGAAUUUUUUCAUUCCAGUUGUUCUUCUAGAGUGGUUGGAUCAAAAGGUUUCGGUCAAUGUCUUGAUCCUAACUUACCCUAAAUAAUAUAGUUUUUUUUUUUUUGAAUAGUAUGGGCAAGAACAUCAUUCAAAAGCGGAAAUAAAAUAGUAAUUUAUUUAAUUUAUAAAGUAAGGAACAGUAGGAACAUAUAAACAUCAAAAGCAGGGAAAGGAAUCAAGCAGGGAGAAAAAAAAACAAAAACUUUUUCUUGUGUGAACAGCAAGACAAAGAAGGAGGCUCUCGUAGUGUGGGCUCAACCUAAACUUAAGUCGAUUGUUUUUGUAGGGUUUCUUCAUUGUUAUUUCCUCCAAACUUUCUAUUUGUUUACAUGAAGUCAUCAUAAUAAUUUAAAGUGUUGAAAUGUUCCGAAGGACUAUGUGAAAUUAAGUAAAUUAAUUUCCAUAAAACUUCGUAGCAAUUAAAUGAGUGGAAUUGAUAAGUUCAACGAAAACGGUAUAUAAUGUCAACACGUUUCUAAAAUUGUAUGGAAAAGAGCGACCAGCUUUCUGAUUUGAAGCAAGUAUGAACACCAAAGUAGCUAGAUUCCUUUUACCCCACCCGCAAUAAAAAUGAAUAUAAAUGAAAGUAAAGAUAUAUAAAGAUUUUGUUAUUGGUCGGUCUAUUAUCUAGUAAUUUGACUUUACCAUUUCAUUUCGACCAGUACCACCAUUGCUGUAGCUUGAAUGACCUAUAGUUUCAUCGUUGUUUGCAGCCACUGAAAAAGGAGAAAAAUGAAAAAGAGGAAGAAGAAGAAGAAGAAAGAACUUUUUUCUUUCUAUGGUACCCUGAGGUCUGACAUUUAGAAGAGGGCACAUUUUGACUUGAAUUUAGCUUGAAGAAAUACAAGAAAUAUAAUUGAGAGCAACCCUUGAAACAUGCAUAAUGUCUCUAUAUAUAGGAGGGUGAAAUAAUGCAGAUUUCAAAAAUUUCCCAAAAAAAAAAAGAAAACAUAUUUAAAGACAUGCAAGGCUAACUUAUUAUAUAUAAUGAUAUUAAUGUCGUGUUGAUGUUUUAGAAAGGGUUAUACAUAUAUAUAUAAUGAACAGGAUGUGUGCAGAAACUAAUACACAGAAAAGGAGUGGAGAAAAUGCGAACCUUUUUAAGAUUUAAACAUAUAUAUUAAAAAAAAAUUAAGCUAGGCAAUCUCAUGAAACAAAGGGUCGUCAAAGAGUAGGUGGUGAUCAGGCCAAACUGAAUUGUCGAUCAAAGUCUCUGUUACAGAUGGAGCCACAGAAGGCGAAGGAGUUGCAGAUGAAGUGAGCCAUGGUGAAUUGCAUUUAUUCUCUCCUUGGCUCAACACUGUGUAUUCUUGAGCUUGAGCCAUGUCCUUGUUCGUAGAUGUUGGAUACUCACAUGGGAUUUGUAGGUCUGGUAAACGAGGGAAAAGGAUUGAAUCAUUGAAACCUUGAAGAGAAGCAGCUGCUAUAUCCAGCUGGGGUGAACUUAAAACUGAGUUAUCCUUGACUGGAGAAAGUGAGUUUGAAAGAUUAAUGGUCUCCAUAUCAGUGAAAGUGUUGUUUAUGUUGUUAGAACCAGAUGAAAUAGAAGCUGGGGUUUGAAAAAGAUACUGCAAGCAUUGCAGCUUAGCCAUUUGAACAGCUUCUGCUUGUAGCCUUACAGCAUGUUCUUCCCAUGGCUGGUGAUCCAUAAGCUCUUUUAGGUUGGCCAAAGCUAUCAGAUGAGGCAAGCUUGAGAAGAUAUCAGUUCGAGGCCUAUGAGUCAUCGGAUCAAUUCCCAUCUGGAUGAGUUUUUUCUUCAAAUGAGUGUUCCAAAAGUUUUUUAUUUCAUUAUCUGUUCGCCCCGGCAGGUGGCUUGCAAUUGCUGACCAUCUUGUGAAUAACAAGGAAAAAGAAGUAUACAUGAUUCAAGAUGCAAAAUAAAAAAUAAAAAAAAAUAGAAAUUUAUAGUAAAUGACAUAAAAGGAAAUAGUUGUUUAAAAAAUUACUUGUUUCCAAGGAUGGAAUGGAGAUUGAGAAUUGUUUGCUCUUCUUCCUGGGAAAAUUUCCCUCUCUUAAUAUCAGGCCGCAAAUAAUUCGUCCACCGUAGCCUGCAACUCUUCCCACAUCGAUUAAGACCUGGAAAAUAACCAAGAAACAAUAAUCUCAGGACAGAGAGAAAGAGAGUGGAGGAGACUUGCAGGUGUAAUACAGUAGCUUUAAUUUUAUACCAGCAAGCUUGGGAAGGGCUCUCCAGCUUCCAUGGCCAUUUUCUUGGAUAUAUUUGACAAGUUUUUGGUCUUCUUCAGGAGUCCAAGGACCUUUCUUAAGGCCACUUUCAUCACAACAAGGAGACCUUCCCAUUUCAAUAUCUUUGUUUUCCUUCCUUCAGACUUGGCAGCUGCCUCCCUCGUCCCUCCAUCCAACCAUUAGCUGCAGCUAGCUAUAUUUAUAGAGUUUCUGUUCCCUAAUAAAGCAGACGUGCUGGUUUCCUAUUUGUUGGCAAAACAACAUUGCCCUCUUCCUUCUUAAAAUCUCAACCAUACCCUUGUCAUUUGUCAAAUGAGUUUUCCUCCUUUUUUUUUUCCUGUAAAUGAUUUUAUUUUAAUUUGACCUAAUUGUGUCUUCAGUUUUCUACGUGGGGCCUCAAUUUUCUGUUCAUAAAUAACUUCACACAUCAAUGGCGACCCACAAACAUCUUACAGCCUGAUUGCUUAGAAGGUUGCUAUGAUCUUGACUCAAUCAUCAUUCUCAUGUUUUAAUAUAUAUUCUAUAAAGUCAAGCAUCUUUACUGCAAUCUUAACAAAAUCAUUUUUUGGCUAAUAAAAAAAUAUAUAAAGCUUCUCUCAUUAGAAAUUUCAAUGAAUUAUCCUCGGUGAAAUAGAGCCAGGACAUUUAGAAAAUGUCACAUAAACAGGUCAAGAAGAAUGGCUGCUUUCACACCUGUUGCAUAGAUACUCUUCAACCUUCUGAAUUUCUAAUUCAUUACUGUUAUGAGUUGGGGUAGAAAGAUAACAAUUUGAAAUCAAGAAAUCUUUAAUUCAGUUUGAAUUAAUUGUUUCCUCGGAAAUGAAUCCUAAAUCGUAAUUAAUUAAAUGUGUCAAACAGAAUAAUUAUAAUAAAAAAUGUAAAAGAGAGUAUGGCAAAGGGAUAUGGACUGCCACUGAUUGCAUAACUCACCCUUGCACAUAAAUAAAUAAUUAAUAAAUAAAUAAACGUGCUAGUAAUACAUUACAUUCAUGUAUUUGCCUUUCAAAAAAAUGUUUAGAAAUUAGAAUAAUUAAAGGUGUUUAGUGGUUUGCAUUUGUAGACUAUAUAAGUUAAAAGAGAAUUUAAUGUCAUAUCCCCAAAAAUGGUUGGAUUUAGCUUAUCAAAAAAAAAUUGGUUAUGUAAAAGAUGAUUGAAUGAUAAUUCAAUCUUAGACAAAUAUAUGAGCAUAAAAUACAUAAUUUAUACAAAUAUUCAAAAAUAUUCAUAAUACAUCAAAGCAUUUAAUUCAAUCGUAAACAUAUAUAUAUCUUUAUUCAAAAUUGAAUUUAAAUUUUUAUUUUUCUGAAUUGAAAAAUCGAUAACUUAAUCUCGAACAAAUAUGCGCAGACUAUUCUUAAGAUAUGGACCUAAUAAUGUAGUAUGGAAGGGCAACAUUGGUAAAGUGAAGACUUGAAGGGGCAAUGUAGGGUAUUUAAGCAGUAAUGAUCUAGAAUUGGAUUAAAAUAAUGAGAAUUAUAGUCAAAAACAAAUGAACAUGAACUGAAAGCGGCAGUCAGUAGUCAGCAUAAAAGGGAACAGGUGGCGCGUCAUCCAUGAUCUUUGAAACCCAUUCCAUGCACGCAACAAGGCCUUUUAUUUCGUCACUGAUUGCAUGGAUCAUUAUACAAUUUCACGUAUUAAUAUUUAAUAUUUAUGCAGAUGGGUCCGCAAAUUUUUUGUGCUUGUACUUCUAGCUAAGCUUUUGCUUACGCACUAGCUAGCCUACAUUACUACCCCACUCCGCAGGGUUUUGCUCAUCUCCAUGGCAGCCUGCCUCCAUUUGCUUGACCCUCACCAAUCAUAUUUUUGUGAGUAAUUAACUUCUGCCAUAUAUCUGCAUCAAAAUCUAUAGUGGUCUCUAAUUAUCAAUUGCUUUCCAUCACCCUAAAUAUAUAUUCCCGAAGCAGAAAAGAUGAAAAAUGAGUGACAAUAAUGACUUUUUUUCUCUUUCUGUCUCCUUUUUCAUUCUCUCAAGGCUCUUCCUAAAUAAUUAAUCUCAAAAUAAAAUGAUGCAUUGGUGAAUUGGUCAUAUGGCGGUGAAGGAGUGUAAUCAGCAUCGGGUGUAAAUCGAUGACGCAUCUACUGAUUCCGGUUGCCAUCUAUAACACAUAAAUACAUCAUUCUUUUUCUUUGAAUUGUCUUCUAUUGAGCUUUGUGAGCUAUAUGAGCUGUUGUUCCCAAUUUCGGUGCUGUGGCCGGCUUUUGAUAAGAGGUCACUGGCGGGGUCUUUUUCAGUGAUAGAGGGUCCUGGGCGAACAAUCUCCGGUGUGCCAAAAUAGAGAAUUCUGAUGCUGCGGUAGUUGAUCCCACUGACAAGGAGUGGCGGAUUAAGGCCCAUGGUAUGUAAACCUGUCUCUGGACUUGCUUUAAUUCUACACAAAAAGAAAUGCUAUUCUGCUUGACCUCACCCAAAUAUAAGACAACAACAUAUAAUUCAGAAGACGACGUAACACGGCAAUUUUCUUUCUUUUCUAAACAUGGACGAAACACGCUUUCUGGAACCAAAGUCUAUGAAUAACAACAUUAUGACAAUGUUGUUUGAGUAUAUUUCCUUACAAAAAAGAAAACGAUGGAGAGUAUGCAUCACAUUCGGAAAGUAACUAAAACCAUGUGAUUAUCCAAUUAUUAACGUCUGUGAUUAAUUUACACACUAUACGUGCAUUGCAGGGAAUAAUUUAGCGGCCAAAACCGGUGGCCCAAAACAAUAAAUAUAUAUUUCUAUGAAUAGGAAAAGUUUUCUUGGUGUGAUGUAAUUAUAGGGUUAGGGGCAUCUGAUCAUUGCUCUUGUCUCUUUGUAUGGCGUAAGAUGUUGAGAGUCUGAGCUCUCUCUUCUCUUGCAUAUUUUAAGAGUCUCUUUCCACGUGUGCACCGUGAUUUUCCACUCUAACCUAACACAUCAAUCACGUAUCACAAAGUACUAUAUGUGUAUACAUGUGUAGAUAUGUACGUUUUUGUAAGAACAUGUACGACUAUGCAAGAAACAAAAACGUCUAUAUAUGCGAAAUUCGGGUGUAAUUAAGGUGCAUGGUCUUAUUCAGGCCUACAAGAUUGGUUGCUACAACUCUUUUGGUGCCAAUUUAAAUGCUUGGAAGUCGCAAAAUGAUGCAUUUUAAAAUAAUCAUCAGGAGUUUGUCAUCAGAAUCUUUCAGUUUGAUAGCCCAAAAAACUUAAAAAGCUAGAUAGCGACAGAGUCGAUGGUGACCCAUUUGACCCUAGAGGGAGAUGGUUAGAGGAGGGGGUUGCAGCAAACUCUCUAAAUUUUCCACCAUAUUGAGACCCUUAAGACAUCUUUCUUUACCCCCUAACAAGAACGCGUCAAUGGUGUUCGUUGAUAUGUAGUCGUCCUUUUCUUCUUUGUCCUGAUUCAAGGAGGAGGAGCAGGAGGGAGGAAGGGGGAGAAAGAGACAUGUUGUAAAACUGAUUUUACCUUCAUUUUUUGCAACAGAGAGAUCAAUCAAAUGUUCAUACUAUCGGCAUUAAUCAUGAUUUCAUAGUAAUCACCUGUAGAUGAAUUCCUCAUGGAAAAGCAUUAAUCAAAUGUAGGAGAACAAAAAAUAUGCAGCAGUUGCACUCCAGGAAGAAUGUAUUUUCGUGCGUAUAUAUAUAGAGCUCGACAAUAUACAUAUGUGUGUUUAUAAUGUACUUAUAUGUGGAGGCCAAAACAGAAAUAGCUAGAAUAUAUAGUUAGUCAAUUAUUCCCUUUGACUUGGUGUUAUAUACUGUAUAUUGCAUGCAUAUACGCAAAUAUUCCAUCUAUUUAUUUGUCAACCUCUUUGUGGUUUUAUGGAUAUCUUUUGCUUAACUUUUUGUGUAGAGGCAUGAAGCAUAUUUCUCAAUCUUUAAGCAGAAAAAGAAAGCUGCCCCAGUUAAUUAUGUACAUACCCUUUUUUUUUCUUAGCUGUCUAUAAUAACUAUAAUUAUCAAUGGAUUACAAUUCAAAGAUAUUCAUUUAUCAAAUUUCAGAUGACAGAAAUAGAAGUAAAAAGGAAGACAAGUCCUUAAGUCAAUGGGUUGAUACAUACUAAAAAUGGGAUAAAUUAAUUAAUGAAUCAUGGAAAUUCAUAUCAUGAAACUGAAGAAGUACUAAGUCCAUGAAAAUUAUAAUGCACGGAAUAAUUUUGGAAGACAAGAAAAAAAAUGGCACACCAAACAGGAGAAAGUAACCACAAAAAAAUCUUCUGAUCUAACCGUAUUUAAAUGUCAUAUAUUUAUAAGUUCAACAUAAAAUGAACCAUAUACACUCUUGCAGAUGUAAUUAUCAAUGGCCGCCCUGGGUAUAUAAGCCACUGGAUGAGAGUCUAGUUUGUCCAAAAUCACUAAUUUCUUACUUGAUAAGCUAGCUAUUUCUAACCUAAACUCGUUAUAAAGCAUCACAUCAAUGGCCACCGAGAGUCAAACUAACAAGAAGGAGAAUUGAGAACACCAUGUCCUCUCUCUCCACCUUUUUUCCUCCUUCAAUUACCUCAUGUUUUGUCGGCACAAGUUUUACCCAUAAAAGAAACCGAGAUUUUUGUUCAUCGAAAGGGGAAAAACAUAUUAACACCUCUUCAAGGAAAACUAACAGAAGUUUUUUAGAGGGAAACAGAGAGAUUACUUCUUCAACGAGGGUUCCUUGUCUGGUGGACUAGACCCUCACAUCAAAAGGAAGCAGGUUUAAAUAAAGAAUUGAGAGAGUAAGAGAUGUCACCUAAACAGCUUAUUAUUUUAUCAUUAGAAAAAAUCAUAGUUGUAAUGUCAGCUAAACAACUGAUUUGCUUCCCCAGUUAAGUUUCUACCCAAUAUAUCUAAACUCGGACUUUCUACACUUCCUUUGCCACGUGGAUGUAUUCGGGUCUUUCCAUCUCCAUGCAAAAAGAAAACAACACUAUAUAAUGCUGGUUCUAAGCAAACAUUAAAUAUAGAUCAAAACACUCACUAGAGAUGGAGAACAUGAAAGUUCUUUAAAAUGGAUUUAUUUUCAAAGUAUUAGCGACAGCAAUCUUUCUUUCUACUCCUCUUUCAUCACCUUAGUUUAUUAUAAUUUUAGUAUACGACCAAAUGAAAUGAUUGAUGUUGAGUAUGAACAUGAAGGUUGACUCCGAAAACACACCUGAGAUUCCAAUAGCUUUAUCGACCUAAUUUGUUGCAACCUGCCAUGGAGGUUCCAUCCAGCAUCUUCCGAUAUAUGAUUUCCUAACAUAAGCUGCUAAUCAAUGAUCCUGAUGAUCUGUUGGUCAAAGCAAAUAAAGCAAACUGGAAAUGAAAUUAUUGCGGUGCACCUUCAUCCCUGCAAUAAAAGCCUCAUAGAAAAUUAACAUUUAUAGUUUAAUGCAUCUCAGCAUUGUUAAUUAAGUGCUUUAUUAAACAAUUAAAAGAAUUGUGAUAGAGUGGUCACCAGAAACAGUUAGUAAGAAAUACUUCUAUUACGUCCAGUACACGUGAAUUGUAUUUGCGAGCGUUCAUGGCACACCAACUUCACCCUUUUCAACUAUUCACAGCCCAACAACCCUAAUUGAAAGCAGAAAAAAAUUGAAGUGGGGUCUGAAAAUCUAUGCUAAUUUCAUCAUAUCUUCACCGUUUCAAUGAUAAUUACGUGUAGAAAGGUUCACUUUCCUUAAGACGUUCAUGCAUUGCAUCCUAUUGGUUUUGACACAAAUGCACUCACAGUUAUUACUGUAAUAUAUAAGGGUUUUGUAUUACUUUAUGACAGAGACUGACUAAGCCUAUGAUUUCUUCUGAAAUGAGACUAAAAACCUAGGGUCAUUGAUUCAUAAUUUUAAUCAACAUUUUUAAAGCUUCUUGAUUACUACUUGUUCUCAUUGCUAGUAAAGAAUAUACAGUUUUCUCAACCGUUAUGCCCAACUUAUAGGAUUAGGAAUAAUUAUGAAUUGAUCUAGAUACAAUGAUCCCCACACAAUAUAACAUAUAUAAUGUGACAAAUAUUUAUGAUAAAGCAUCGGUGGUAAUGUUUUGGAAGUCUUGGGAUCUUUAUAUCAUUAUUGUUAGCCAUCAACUACCAUGUAUGAUUUGUUGGCUUAACUCUCAUCGGCAAUGACAUCAUAUUCACAGCUAAGGACAGUGAAAGAAAAUAAGAGUGAAAGUUGAUUAGAACAUGUUAAAAAACCAUAUAUAAAACAUAACACUUUGCAGGAAUAAUCUUAAAUUUGUAGCUAGUUCAAAUAUUCCAUUAGUUAAUUAAUUUCUAAUUAAGAAAAAAGCUUUCAAGUUUGUAGAUCAGAAAUCUUGUUGACAGAUUGAUAUAAUACUUGACAUAUGUGUUAGCAUGGGAAGCACCAAAAAAAGCAAGCAAGUUUUAUUAGUACACGUUACAUUGCUAAGGAAUUUAAGCAUCUAAAAUUCGUGUUAUAUAUACCUAUGCAGGAAAAUUAACAACAAAACAAGCUGAGCAUUAUUAGUAAUUGUAAUAUUAAUUAAUUGAACUGCAAUAAUAUAUAGUAUAUAUACGUAGCAAUAAAUAUAAAAACACAUAUUUUAUCAGAGAAAAGCAAUACUAUACAUACUUACACAUAUUUUAGACACACAGUAUAACGUUUACAUUGAGAUCGAAUUGGUAUUCCUUUGCUUGCCAACAUAAGAAUCAACAAUAGUUUAAAAAGAUGAGUGGCAUCCACAUGAUUUGAUAACUUCAAGUUCCUUUAGUAAUCUCACUCUAUUGUGUCCUAUAUCAGCAUGCAUCCAGUACAGGUGAAAGUCUUUCAUGUCUACAAACUAGCUAGUUUUUGAGCCUUCUUUUCAUCAAUUGCCACUACCAUGAACUGUACUUCAUUAAGCAACACAAUAUUUUGAGCGAAAAAAAAAGUAACACAAUAUUCCUUCAUUUCUUUGUUCUUUUUAAGAUCCAGAUUUGUGUGUGUGUUUGUGUGGUGUAACCAGAGAAUUGUUAACACUUAAUGUGCUUAGCUACUUUAAUUCCAAAACCAAGGUUUUUAACAAUUUAGUGAAGAACUGAAGAAUGUAUCAGUAUGUUUUACCCCUUGUUUUUUCUAAAGUCUAAGAUUUCAUUGAAUUAUUAGAUCUACAAGGGCAGCUAAACAAGCAUAGCACAAAAAUGCCCCUGCUUGUGGUGUGCCUCAAACCAUAGCCUCUAGAGAAAUCCAAAGUAAACUAACCCAAAAAGCAGAAUUCUAUAUUUUUUUUUGAUAAGCCACGAAAAUAUUUCAUUAAAACAUGAGGGUUACUCAAUUCUGUAACCCACCAAAGUGAACAAAAGUUUGGCAUUUCACCUGUACCCUUUACAAAAUAUUCUGCUCAAAGCAGUCCCCGUAUAAAAACACCCAAAUUCAUCCCUAUACAAGAAGCAUGGUAUAGAAGCAGAAUUUCAUAUAGACAAGGAGCAUAUCAAAAGAUUCUUUUUCAAAAAGGCUGAAAGUUUUAAAGAGCUAGCCAGUGUAAUAACCUUCAUGACCAAGAUUAUGGUGGACAUUGGUCAAAGUUUACACCCAGUAAAUUUCUUUAAAUAUAAGCAUUAAUAUUAAUGUAAUUCUUAUGAUUCAACAUAAAAUAAAAUAUAUAUAUCAUUUAAAAGAACAUAAAAUAAGAUUGAUAUAUAAUACUAUCAUCAGAAAACUAUAAUUCUAGAUACUUAUAAGGUAUCAAUCUAGUUCAUUCAUACAAUUUUUCCAUACACAGUUAAAAACUUUGCCAUCUUCUAUCUAAUUAACCAAGUAAUUAUGCUAUGCAUAUUCCCCUCAUUAUAACCAAACAUAAAGAUUAUGAAAUGAGACUUGAAAAAUGAAAGAUAGGGCCAAAAAAUUGUCAAGAGUAUUGUAUUCUUUGCUUAAUCUACCCACUUGUUUUACCUUCAUCUUUGUAAAAUCUAUUAAUGGCUGUUUAGCAAUCACCAUGUGGGAAAUCAUUCAGGUUUGGUCAUGAAAAGGUAUUUCAUAAUCCAUAAGAUCCCUAUGGUCAGUGAGAAAAUUUCUGUAUCUGGUAUUAAACAUAUAUCCAAUCUAAUUAUUUUUAAAUACGCAAUACCUUUACAUGUUAGAAGCAGGCCAGUUAAUGUGGAAUAGAAUGAAAAAAAUAUUUAAACAAGAUUAUGGUACAAUAUAACCGAAGGUCCAAAGCCCAAAGAAACAGAAGUCGAACUAGCCUCCAAACUUAGUAACAUCAGUGAUUUAGAGCAUAAUAGGAUAGUGCCCAAUACACCUUUUCUUACAGUGAAACAAAAUAGGAAGCCUUUUUUCUUUUGGAUGCCCUUUUAAUAGAUUAUUGGAGAAGAAGCCUAAUAUGAUUAAACCUGGGCCAGAGGCACAUGGGCCACAUCCAAAUUUUAUAUGGGACAGUAGCCCAGGUCCUAAGGCCUAGUAAAUGGGAGGUUAAGAUGAGACUGAGAAAAGAUGUUGGGCUCAUGUGGGCCUUUUAAGUGCAUUACAGAAACAAAUGCACAGUCAACGGUUGGUGGCAACAUGAUCUGUUUCAUUAAUAAAGGAAAAGGUAGAGAACCCGAUUGAUUAUUUGGAUGCUAGUGAUCUCAGAAGCAGAAAGUGUGGAAAAUGCGAUUAUCUUGAAUUUUUGCGUCCUUUUAUUUAGAUGGAGAUUAAUGUUUAUAGUUCAAAUUUACAGAAUACGCAAAACCGUAAUCCAAAGAACCAUCCAAGUACCUAAGACUUAAGAAGACAAGAAGCUCAGUGCAUUUGACAUGUUCUUAAGAGCCCUUCUUCUUUGUUGCAGACAAAUUUGCACUCCAAUUUUGUGGCAUUUCAUCAUAAAAAUUGCUUGCCCAACUAUGCAGUAAUUAAGCUAGAACAAGAUAUUAUAGUGCAUUAAGCCAAUUCUUGAGAAAAAAGUUCAAUAGUUGAACCACAACAAAAUGAAUGAAAAGUCAACAUACCUCAUAAAGUAUAGUUCCACACCACCUUAAUUUGGGAAAGCGUAGAGAUAAUGAGAUGGAAAAGAUUGAAACUAAAUGUAUGAGAAACCUGCAAAUGUGACGUAUAAAUAUUUGUCAAGCAGGAACUAGUCAUGAAAGCUGAGAGAGUCAGAGAGGUUGGGUUCAUGAAAUCUGAGUAGCUAGGAUAAAGUACAAGAGAAUCCAGUCAAAAGUAGAGAUAAACGUUGCAUGCAAAAGCAGGUCACAUGGUUGGAGUAGGAGAUAAUAAGGAACAGCAUCAUCAAGAUCUGUUUAUCAACAGGAAAGCAUUGAAAAUCAAAUCAAAGCUGAAUAAAAAGUGCAUGGAGAUCACAUGGUGGGAGUUGGUAAGGAAGCAUUUUUUUUUUUUUGCGUAUUAAAUUAAAUAGGUAAGAGCUAGCGAGGCUACCACGCGGACACCUAUACUAACUUCGGUCUGUUCCCCUUCUGUUGGAAAUCCGUGAGCACUAGGUCAAGGAACCAGUUCAGUCCGUAAAGACCCAUAAGGCCAUAAAAGGACCCAUGUAUAGAUAAAAGCCUGAACUUUAUAGUAGAAAGCGGAAUCAAACUUACAAUGGCGUGAAUGGCUUUUGAAAAGAUGGCUGAAAGAACUUAUUCCUAUUAAAAUAAGAGCUGAUAACUAACAGGCAACUGCUGGUGCCCUGCUUAUAAUCAUAUUUUAUGAGACAAAUAUAAUAGGUAGGAAAGGUGAUGAUUCAUGCAGGAUUCAGAUGUAAAAAAAAACUUGAAGUAAGGACCAGAUCAAAAGGGGAGACUCUUGAGAGUUUAGAAUUCAAUUCAAAGUAAGUGCCUGUUGCCAACCAAUAUUGACGAUGUUUGAAGAAAAAUUAAUUUAACAUUUGACGAAAUACAGGGUUUCAUGCUGGCAUCUGCAUAAAAUCUUUGAUAUAGUCUUCCUGGAAACCAUUUUCGGUUAGUAUAAUAUAAUGGAGAGGAACCCUGGAUUUUCUAACACCCAAUUACUUAAUUUGAAUGACUGUAGUAAGAAUGGUAAGACACCCUUGUUUAUGAUAUUGAGAACCGACCAUAAAGUCAAAAGUGUCCUUUAUCUUUUCAUUGCAUGAAAUCACAUGGUGCCCAUAUAAUCAACAAGCUACAAGAGUGGACAAGUCAAGCAGAAGAGAUACCUGAUCCACGGAACGGCAGACAAGUGCCCAAUCUUUAGAAUUUGGAUCUCAAAAGGAGCAAUAGAAAAAUAGUUGGUAGACAAUUUGCCAAUGUCCUUGUCGAUUACGAAGCGCCGUUUGCAUAAUCUACCAACUAAAACGAUAUACAUGGGAAAAAGGCCCGUAAUACUUACAAUCCAUCGAUGGGCAACGGCGGCUCUCGAAGCGAAAACCUCAAUUGACUACAGGGACAAAUCACGAAAACAAAGAUGGGAUUUGAAUUUUGAAAUAUUUUUGUUUCUAACCAGUCUCUUGGAACUUGGAGGAACUUGAGGGACAUCUUUUCCUGUUGAAAACCCUCCUCUGUGAAAACAUUUAUCUAAGCCCAGCUCCCAUCCCCCUGUAGAAACCGAAUAUGCCUCUGGCUCUACCUAGGUAGUAUGCGCGUUUUCAAACCCUUCACCCCGACACUCAGUGAAGCUAAAUUUAAGAGCACCCACUAGGUCUACUCCAGCAAAUGCUGACAACACCUAGCCCCAACACGUAAGGUCACUCUGGCGAGCAACCAGCUGCUAAUCUGGCUCCUAUAUACAUCUUCAUGCCAUUUAAAGAGGAAAACUGAGUCAAAUUUUAGCAACUCGCACACCCUUUAACUUUUCAGUGAUUCAUUGACUUUACACAACCUUUUUUCAAACCGAUUCAUUGUCUACAAUGAACACAUAGAAAAUGAAACUACAAGGUUUUUCAAACACAUAUAAAUCUAGUUCUUGAGUAUGAGAAGCCAAAUUAAUCAUCAAAGUUUACAUAAUAUAAAGUAGUUAAGAAACGAAAAGUUGUGGACAACUUCAAACUAAGAAUAAAGUAGUUAAUUGUUCUAAUGUUCAAAGCACCUUCACAACUUCAAAUUCCACGAAUCGGACUUUUUCUUGAGCACGAGUUCAUUAAUAGGCAGAGAAAUGUAGAACAAGCUCCAAAUGUUAAAAUAGUUCCCUUUCUCAGAAGCCAGAGCAUAAACCUGAAACCAACAGUUACUAAUUACUAGCGAGCAUUUACAACUUUGAAGGCAAAGUUUCAACUUCCGAGGCCAAAUAGACAACUUAGUCAUCAAACAAAUGGUGUCAAAGAACUGAUAAAGCAGCUUAAUGAAGUGAUAUUGGAAACCAUUUUAAACUAUUUCAAUCUCAUAAAGAUAAUUACACUUCGAUUUUUGUAAAAAAAACCCCUUGAUAAACAACUUAUUGUGAUCGAUUAGAUACGUGCCUUUCCUCAUUUGCAAAGUGCAGAGCAUUGCGCCCAUGCAUCAAAUCCCUGGAACUGAUCAAGAAAAAUAAAAGACAGCCCUGGAACUGCUCAGAGAAUCUAAAGAGGCAAAGUGAGUAACAAAAAAGGGAUGAUGUAGAAAGAAAAGAAAAAGAUUACCUGAGAUCUGCAAUUAUACUGAGAUUUAGAGGUGGAAAUUCAAAGUAGCAGAGCUAUGAGACUCCAAGAAUGGUAAAGGCAGAGAAAACAUAUGUGGAUUUUUCCUUUCCUUCACUGGAUGAGUAGAUGCACUUACAGAGGCAGAAUUCUUCUUUUUUUAUCUUUUUAAACUUCUGUCACCUUUGCCUUCGGAGUAUGUGUUUUAGGAACAACUCUAGCUGACCUUACAAGCACCAUUAACACAGAUUCCAUGCAUGAUUAAUGAAUGCAGAAAUCAUAGGCAAAGAUCAUUUAACGAAGUGAUAGAUUUUCAAUCAGAGUAUUCUUUACGUAAACACCCCAUUCAUUCAAGCAGAUGCUUAAGAUUCCAAUAGCAAGCUCCAGAAAUCAUUUGUACAACCAAAGAAGCAGGUACACUUCAAUCCAACAACCAAAACCAUCAUCAUGUUUAUGACUGCAUCAUCCAUCUCAUCUACCUUAAAUUGCUAACUCCAAAUUCCUGCUAUUUAUAUUGCACAUUGUAAAGAAAAUGAGGGACAAACCAACCACUCAGCUAAUGUUCAGUAAAGCAAUAUAUUUGACCCUUUAGUAGAGUUUAAAGCAAAAACAUGUAAACAAGAUUCUUCAGACCUCCAAAAAGACUUACACAAGUAGUCCUAAUCAUACAAGUAAUAACUCUGAGUGCCGGCACACAUGUAACCAGAAUUACAGAAAGCGGUAACAUAAAGAUUGCCAUGAGUUUAAUAACUUCCAUAUUUCAUUUGCCAUAAGUCUAACAAAUCUAAUCAAAAAGCCUGUAAUCAGCAACUGAAAAUAGGAAGAAACACGUAAACAGCUUCAUAAAAAUGAUCCUUUGCCACUUCAUUUCCAAUUCCAUUUCAAAAAAUGAUAGCAAACAUAAAUUCCAAACGUGACCAGAACUCAAAACAACUCAACUAAUUCGCACACUUUUAUUACAAAAACAAGCUUCAACUACCUUCAUUUCCGCUCUCAAAAUCCUCAACCCGAACCUUCCCAACCCUCUCAUUCCCCGGUAAAACACACCAAUUCGGUGACUGCACAGCUCUCAACCACUUAAAAUCAUCCACAUUCCCCCAAUUUCCUGUCUCCUCACUCAACCCUGCCUUCUCUAAGUCCAUCUCAAUCCCUUCAUAAUCCAAACAAUACGGGGCAAAUCUCACAACAUUGCUGUCCUCAAUUAUAGGCCUACUCCUCAGUCUCAAAUAGAAAUCACUCCUUUUCGCCAAAUGAAUCCUUAUCUGAUGCGAAGCCAAUACAAAGACACACCCUUCCACUUCCUCUAUCAAAAUCGACCCAAUUACCGGCCCCAAAUAAACCUUGCAAUCCUUCAAUCUGUUCAUAAAAACCGCAUUGCAGCAGCCAAUUAAUCUCACUUCGCAGGAAUCCAGAUUGGAUAGCGUAAAUUCUCCAACUUCCGUUCCCUUGAACUUCUGAAUUAGGGUUUUGUUUGUUUUAUUUCUAAACCCUGGGGAAUUGGGGAUUUUGAAAUUGGUUACUGAAACGGCGUCAGAUUUUACGGGUUCGGGUUCAGGUUCUUUGGGGAGUUCCUUUUUUGCUGUGGCUUUGUUUUUGAAGGAGAAUUUCCUUUUGGGGAUCAAUUCGGAGUUUAAAAUCUCGAGAUUUUGCUUCAAAUCGGAGAUGGUUUUGAGAGAAGAGCGGACUUCAUAAGAAGGAAGGAAGUACGAGGUCUCCGCGACGAGUUUUUCGAGGUCCGAGAUGGACGAAGAGAUAUUGGCGAAAUGAGUUUUGAGGCGAGAUGGAUCGGAUUGAGCAAUGAGACGGGAGUCGGCGAGUUGGGAGUCGAUGGAUUGCUUGGAUUCGGAGAAGCGGGAGAGGAAAGAGGACGUGGCCUCGGACGAGUUGGUUGAGUCGGAUCGGCGAGCGAGUGAGUUGUCUAAACGAGCGUGGUGGCGAGUGGAGAGGCGAUCGAGCAUGGCUUGGUGCUUUUUCUGUAAGUCGGCAUCGUGGUCCAGGGUUUUGGCUGGGAGAUUUGGGUCUGGCCGUUCUUCUUCCAUGGUGAUUUUGAGGUUUUUUGCUUUUCUUUUUUCUUUUUUUAGGUUGCAGAAAAGGUAAAUCAGCUGGGACGCUAAUGAAGAAAAAGGCCGCAAGGGAGAUCUAGUAGACCAAAAACGACGCCGGUGUUCAUUAUGAAAUUUUCCCGCCGUGUGAUGGUUAUUAUAAAAUGGGGAAAAAAAGAAGAAGGAUUCCUAUUUAGUGUUUAUUUCCCACUAUUAAAAUGGACAGUUAUUGUUUCUCAAAUUGUAAAUGAUUCAUAAUUAAUAUUGUUUGAACAAAAAAUUAAACAUCAUUAAAAAAUAGUUAGGAAUUUGUUUUAUUAUAAGAAAUUACAAAAUGAACAGUGAAAUACUUCUACUUAAUAAGACAUUGUGAUCCAAGCUGCUUUCACAAGCUUUGUUGAUGAAGAUUAUAAAGUUUGGUUUAAUAAACUCAAUUCAAUGGGUUAAAAUGCAGAUUUAAUGACAAUCAGAAUUGGUAUGGGAAGAUUGAAUCUGUGAAGUGCUCUUCCAAGAGCCAAAUUAAUAAACAAUCUCAGGUAAACCAAAAAUAAAGAGAAUCCUAUCAACAACAACAAAAUACUAUGCACAAAAUGGUCUAAAAUAGAAUUUGCAACAAUUUAAAGAGCCCUUCUUAAGCCAUGAAAGUGUGAAGUAUUUGGCAUGGUUCAAGCAGCAGAUUUCUCAGCUUGUUCAGCUGCCUCUUCCUCUCGCAACUUUAUCAAAGAUGGGGGUGGUUUUACAACAAUGCUUUUCUUCCAUCGCCGAUCAAGCUUUCUUGACAAUCGCUUGUUGAUGCCCUCCUCAAUCUCUCUUUCCCGUUUAACAGUAAGCAUGCGAGCAAUCUAUCAAGAAGAACACUUUCUUUGUUACAAUAAUGCUCAAUGUAAAGCUUAAAUACACAGAAAAACUACGCUUAGAUACACAGUAAAACUACCCUCAAUCUUUACAAAGGGCAUAAACAGUAUAUGAUCAUCAAUUAUCUGCCUUCUUGUCUCUAUUGGUUUGCAAUGUAACCAGAGAACUGGGACCACAGAAUGUAAAAUCCAUGUAUGUUGUCCCUAAUACAAUUUAGCACAUAUAUUGGCACCAUGACGAAUGAUAGAGCGGUCUAACUUUAUAUAAUAUAUGUAAAAUGAUCAGAAUCAACCCCUUAUAAAUACCUUUUAAAAUAAGCAUGCUACAAGCACUUUUAAUAAUAGAAGAAAUCCUCUAACAACCCUCUCUCCCACAACCAAAAUAUAAAGAGAUAAACAUGCAAACAAAGGGGAGCAUGCUCAACUACAGUCAGGAGACGCUUAUAUCAGCAAUAUCAGGUCUACAGCAUGAUUUCUCUUUCAUCAGUGCACUUCAAACAAUGAAAUACAUCCUGCCUACCACACACUCAUUCUUAGCCAUGCUUAUAUGACUUCAUUUUAGCCUCUAUCCUCUUGCAACUGCCCUAAGUGAAACCAGAUCACACCUAAAUAUGGCUACUACUUGUACAUCAGCAUAAUUUAAGUUUGGGUAACAUGAGGCUCAGGCAACCAUUUCAGGUAGCUGUUAUAUUUCACCAUGAUAUAUUUUAAGGAGUUUGAAGGUUACCUUUGUAUGCUUUUGCUUUACCCUCAAGGUGCUCCCCGUACAAUGCAAAGGAUGAUAACACUAUUCUAAAUAAUAUUAUAUCAAUAAAAGACCAUGGCAAAGGGUGUCUUUCAUUAAGUCCAAAUACUGCUUUAACAAUGAACUUGAAAAUUUAUUGGAGAAGUGCCAUAUUAUUUGCUAAUCUCUGCUUCCACUCAAUUUUUAGACAAAUUGUUUUUUACUGCAAAAUGUCUGAGCCCAGGCAUAGCAAGAAAAUGGAAUAAUCAAAAUAUCUGGCAAAGAUAACUGUCAAUCAGCUAUAUCUACCCAGUACACAAUUCUACUGUACUAUGGAUCACUUCAAAAAGCAGUUGAAUUUAACCAUAAUCCAAAUAAAGCCACAAAAUCUCAAACCACCGUUGACGACAACAACCAACAAAUUUUCUCACUAUACAGCAUCAGCUACCUAUACAGAUAAUAUUACAACACACCUCUAUUUAAGACCAUAUCCUCAGCAAACUCAGGUAAAACUGAGGUCCUUUUAUAUGGUUCCAUCCCUGUCCUCUUUGGCCAUCCUCUUAUCUCUUGACAUUGGAAUGAAUCCAAUUUGACAGAAAAUAAUAAUUACAGAAAAAGCGGAAAACCAGCUGGAGGCAACAUAUUCAUCAAGAACAAGCUACCAAAGCCACCACUUGUACAGCCCACCCACUCACUUUUCCAUCAAGGUUUCACAUGAAACAUAGAACAUAUCCUCCUUUCAGAUGUUAGGGUUUAACACCCCUUCUCUUGCAAAGGCCUAUGUCCUAGCCUCCCUUCUUAAUUUCAUAAGAGGAUCCGUGCCAUUUGGCCAUAACAACAUUGGUUUCCUACACAACUUAAGCAAAAGAAAGCACCCCAAAUUUCGAGAGGAAAAAAGAAUAAAGAACCAACCAAAUCUAAAAAUAAGAAGGAUGAUGAAGAAAUACACACGCAUACAGAUGCAUAUCCAAAAAGCUAACCUUGUGAUGGUUAUGCUGCUGAUUACACAAAGUUCACAAUAUCAAAUCUUUGCAUUAAGCUUCUUUGGUUCACAAUUUGAAGGCAAAUGCAUUGCAAUGACAACAGCACCCCAUAAAAUUUUUUGACUUCUAAUGAUAUGAAAACAAUUGUUGCUUAUCAAAUUAAUCAAAAUAUAUUUAUCAUUCUCACUCGCAUCUUCCAACCAAAGUUUAGAUUUUUGGAAACUUGAAUCACAAUUAACAUUGACAUUUUUUUGUGUUUUUAGCAAAGUUCUCUAGCUCCUAUCUAUAGAAACUUGUAAGACUCUACUUCGAUGGGAAUUCAAAAUCCCAUCAUUCCCUUCUACCAUGUCUUAACAUAAAACUAUAAUAAAACCCAGAUUUUAAUAUCCCAUUUCAAAUCCAAUGCAAUUGUAAAAUAAAAAUAAAAAUAAAUAAAUAAAUAAAUAAAACCAGAAUGGAGGAGGGGGGGGGGGGGGGGAAUACCCUUUUGCGCAUACGCCGAAACUCGCUAGACUUGAACUCAUUACGAACCGAUUUCUGAAGACGAAGCAUGAAAAGCUCUCCUUUUAGCUCAACCACUUCCUCGUUGAUUUCCUCAGUCGUUUUGGCCCUUAUUUCCUUCAUUUCUUCUUCUCUCUUUGCCAUCAUCACCACUGACGACGACGCUGAUGGUUUUCGAAACGAGGUCGUUUGAGAAGGCAAUGGUCGGGGACAUAAGUGCUGUAUUCGGACGCCAUUGAAGGAAGUUUUGGGGAUUGAAGAUUUGGGUUUUGGAGGGAAAGUAACGGUUGUUGGGGAAGCAACUGAGAGGCUCAACAUCUUUCCUUGUUUGGCUUCAGCUCUGUCUUCGUGGCUUGUUUCCCCGUGAGCUCGCUUCCUCUCCAGUGCUUCACUUGGGAAUGUAGAUAAGGCAAAAGUUUUUUCUUUUUUCAAUCGUUUUUUCCAGUGAAAAAAUAGAUAAGGCAUUUUCCCCUUUUAGCCUUUUUUUUUUUUUUUACUUUAUUUAAAACUAUUAUUUUUUAGAUAUAUAAAACGUAAUUUAUUUAAAUAUAAUAUUAAAAUAUUAGUAUAAUAAUAAUUUUAUUAUUUCAAAUACAAAAACAAAUCCAAACCUUAACUCUCAAAAUAUCUGCAAGUGCCAACUCAACAAACACUUUGAAUUAUUAAAAUUUUAUUUGAUUGAUAUUUUUAUUUGGAUAAUAAUUUCUCAACAUGAGAUUUUAAAACAUACUAGCAAUUCUCCUUUUUAAUUUUAAUGUUUGUUUCCCUCUCUCUUUUUAUGCUUUUGAUUUGGGUUGUUGUGCAAAGAAUUUUCUUACUUGAAAUUGAGUUUGUUGCAAUUUUUUUUUCCUUUGGAUAUAUAAGCAUAUAAUUCAGAAACUCUACACAUCCGUCUGCUAAGAAAUAUUACCAAAUCAAAGCGAAUAGUCAACUUUUUGUUCAAAAAGUUUGAAAACAAUUUCUAAACAAAAUAUACACUUUUAAAUAUCCUUUCCUAACCAAACCUACUGUUUUUCCUUUAUAAAGAUGUUAUUUUAUCCAUUUUUAUUGCUAAUGUACGACUUGAAUGCAUUAAGAGGGAGAAAAUUUUGAAAAGGUAAGAAGAAAAAUUCAAUGCAGAUUCGUAAAAAUAAAGGGUAAUAAUGUGACCAGUGACCACCACUUAAUGAAAGUCAACACGACAUAAAAACUUGCCUGCCAUUGCCAUUUGCCACUUGCCACCGGCAAAGCAAUAAUGCAACUAGUUUUUUGCUUUGUAUUUCUGGGUGAUCUACAAAGCACUAAUUAAAUUAAUUAAUUCUUUUCGAUUGCUGGAAAUUUGCAACAAAUGCAUGCAAUUUUCUUAGCUUCAAUCUCAUGGCACUUUGCUAUAAUGUUAUUAUGAUGAUUAAUUUUUGCUAACAAAUGCCCUAAUGAUAUACAGAUACUUGUUAAAAAUAGUAUUUAGCAUUAAAUGAUAAAUACUUGAACUCCAAUCCAAUCUUGUAGAGGAAUUAAUAAUGGAAAAAGGAUUAUUCUUCGUAAGCGUCUUAAUCAGAAAAAUAUUAUUAUUAUUAUUAUUGUUAUUAUUUAAAAAAGGAAUGAUGAUGUAAAUGGAAUUUAGGCUAGCUAACAUAUUUUAUGAUUUUUAUGUUUAAAAAGAAUGCUAUAACACAUAGCAUAGGCUUGGUAUGAGAUGACCAUUCUAUAGAUCUAUAUUAUUGGAUUAUUGUGUUUUUUUUAAUUAAAAAAUAAGAUUCGAAUUCUACUUUAAGACCAUGUAUUAAUUAAUGAGUCAAAUGCACUGAUGUUAUUGAAUUAUUGAGUUAAUAACUUUAUAUGGAUGACAUUCAAAUAUAUGAGAUAUAAAUGUAAAUAUGUGUACAUAUAUAGAAUUAUUUUACUUUAUAAAAUGAGAGAUUCAAAUUUAAUUUUUAAAAUAAAAAAGUUAUAUUUACUAUAAAAUUAAAUGUAUAAGUGUAUGACAUUUUUCCUUAAGUUAUGAGAGGCAUUGAUUUUUAAGUUUUAAUAAAUUGCAUAUCGUGAUGAAUGAUAAGAUUAUGACGAUGAUCUUAAGAACUAAUAAAACAAACACUAUUUAAAUUCAUGUUUGUUGAACAAGUCUUUGCAAGUAAUUUGUAUGGUAGAGCUAGGAUUGGACAUAUAAAGGUUCUCAGAAUGAGGUUGAGCGAGCAUUUGUAAAUUAAUAACUACGUUUCUCUUUUAAACUAAUAUUACUCAUUAACACUUAUUUUUUUUUUUUCAUAUCUGUUCAAAAUCAAUGGAUUGGUUGUUCUAAUUUACAUAAAUUAAAAUGAAUAAUUCAAAUUAGUACUUAUGUGUUCGAUCCAAUGCCUAAUGGUAUUUACGUAUCUCCUACUUUUAAAAAAAUAUAGAUUUUCUAUAUUCAAAAUUACGAUUUGAUAAAAAAAGGAAUUGUUAAUAAUAUAAAUUAACAGUUAAUACUCAAAAUUUAUCAAGUGUGAGCCUUUAGUACUUGAAUAUGACCUGUUGAUUUCUUGAUAAGAUAAGAUAUAUUACUAUUAAUUAACGUAUGGUUAUUAAUAUCUUUUCUGUUUUUUCAAAAAAAAAUUGUCAAAUUCCUCAAUAAAGUUUAAAAUUUGUUAUUCACCAAUAAAAGUUUAAAUGAGAUUUAUUCAUGGCCAAAUAAAUAAGUUAAACUAUUUUAUUUAUUUAUUUUAAUUAAAACAACAUGGAAAAACAUAGGAAAUCUUAUCCAAUAUUCCAAAUCCUAUCAAUUAGAAAGAACAUAUAUAUAAAAAAAUGAAACAAAAGAAGACUGAGGUUAGAAAUUUGACGCAUAAUAGUAAAAAAGGACCUAUUUAUUGCAACUCAUCCAAAAUCCCUUUUUAUAUUUUUCAUUUUACAGCUAGGCAUCACAUGACCAUGAGUGGCAAUAGCAAAUAAGAAAGCGUCAAUUAGUUUAUUCUUAUGUAGUUUACCCUUUUUUUUUUCAUUUGUGAUGCGUUCAUUUUUUUUCCAUCUAUUUUAUUAAUUUAUUAAAUUAAAUUUAUAUUUUUAUGCCACCAUUUUCUUUUACCAUCUUUAUUUUCUUCGUCUCUCGUCUCUCCCCAAACGCUCUCAAAACAAAACAAAAACAAACCCUCAUUUCCUUUUGCCUGUUUUUCACUGCCUCAAAACGGAAAUAGGAAAAACGAAAACAAGUUAUUUUUUUUUUCUUCCCUUCCUCCAGACAAACCCUAAAGGAAUUCAAAUCGAACGGAGGAGAGUGAGAGCGAGCGAGUGGUGAAUGGAAAGAUAGAAUAGAAUCGCUGAGUUGAAUAGGUCGGAAGAAGAUCUGUGUUCGAGUUGUAGACAAAAAGUCAAUUCUAUAAAUGGGCGCGGCGGGUUCAAAACUCGAGAAAGCUUUGGGCGACCAGUUCCCUGAAGGCGAACGAUAUUUUGGCCUCGAAAACUUUGGCAACACUUGUUAUUGUAACAGCGUUUUACAGGUUUUUUUGUUUUGUUUUCCUCUUCCCCUUUUUAAUAACGGUUAAAUUUUGAAUCUAAUUCGGUUUUCUUUUUUUUCUUUUAAAAAAAUUAUGUUGAAUUUGAUCGUUUAUGUUAAUUCCAAUAUUAUGAACUUGAUUGCUUUUGAAUUUUAAGCUAUGAAUAUUUUUUUCUUUCGUAUUUUCCUUUGUGCGAAUUUUUUGUGGUACAUAUUUUUUAUUAGCGCUGUUUAUGCAAGUUUUCACGGUUUGUACUUUUCGGUUGCUGUAGCAGCAUUUCUUUGGUGAUUCCUUGUUGAUGAUUUGGAAAAUGUGCUCAUGCGGCUAGCUGAUAGCGGUAGAAAGCAAAUAAAUUUUGGAAAAUCCCUGAAUCCAAUUUACAACCUUUGAUUUGGAUUUGGUUCUAUCAUUUUUAUGUUUAGCAGUGAAGUUCUCUGGUAAUGACUAGCCGUGUUGCAUUCAGGUCACUUGGUUGUAACAAAUUUAGAUUGAAAUUAGGAAGGUUGGCUUUUUCAUUUGUUUGCUGAGAUGGUGUAGACCAGACAUUGACCGUGGUAGACGACAACUAAUAUUAGGGAGAGAAAGCAGUCUCGGGGUUGGAUGCUGGUGAUAAAAUAAAUGAUUAUCCAAUUCAUCAUUCCUGUUAAGAUAUUUUAGAUUUCUAAUAUUUUUAAUAUUGCUUUUGUUUCUUCGUUCAAUUAAGCUGUGUGAUUGUUGUAAAGGUGAGUUUUGUGAAAUAUUUGGAAUUUAUUUGGUUAGAUUAGUUUAUGCAUGGUAUGAUAGCUAGUGGAUUUUGAAAGUUUCAUGUGGCAUUGAGAGGUUGACUUAGAUUACACAAGAUCUGAAUUGUUUGAACACUCAUAUCUGGAUGAAUGCAACUGUAGUGUUUAAAUGCUAUAUACUGUUACCAGACUCUUUAGUUCCUGUGACCACCUUCUUUUUUUUAAAAAAAAAAUUUAUGCUAUGAGACUCUGAGAUCUUUGCUGCUUGGCUUUCCCAUUAAUUUUACAUGAUUAGCGCAUUUAUGGUCAUUUGGGCAGGAUAUGGUAUAGUUUUAUGUUGAGUGUUGGAUGUUACUAUUUAAAUUUGUUGAACGACGGUUCCCCCUCAGUUGCUGAUCAAUGUCUCAUCUCAUUUAUUUAUUUUUUGUCAGGCACUUUAUUUUUGUGUCCCAUUUCGUGAACAGUUGCUAGAAUAUUAUUCAAGCAACAAAAAUGUUGCUGAUGCUGAAGAGAAUCUGCUGACAUGCUUGGCAGAUCUGUUUACACAGGUAAUAAGUGUGCUUUUUUGGCAUAGGAGGUAGUUUGUCGUAUAGAAGCCAAUGGUGUUGAAAUGUAUUUUUUUUUUGAAGAGUCAAAGAAUUUAUUUUAAAAUGAUGUUUAGUAGCAUUAGUUUCUUUUUUCCUUUUACCAUAACAAUGCACAUAAGUUGCAAUGCCUUGUUCUGGUCUUGACCUUGAUUUUCAAGAGAUUCUUUUAGUUAUUUUUUCUUUUGUUAUUUGCAUGCUAGGAGCCCACGUGCAUUUAGUUAGAAGAAUGAAAGCCUAAGAUAUCAUGUUCAUGAUGUAAUGAAGAUGGUUCACCGUAUAAUCUUUUAACAAGAUCUGAUCAGAAAUUAAGAUUUCUAUUAUUGUCAAAUAGCUUUUAAAGUUUUUAUCAUUGCACAAGGACCUGGCUUCGUUUCAACUUACUUGCAAGAAGGGAUGAUGUGUGUGCAUUUUUGUUUAUUAUUUUUAAUCGUUCUAAUGUUUUUGAUAAAUCAUUUUUAUCUCUAAAUCCUAUCAGAUUUUAUGCAGUGUGUAUGAUCUGCUUUAUGUUCCUGUGCAAGAGUUCCUUUCUCAUAUCUGCUUCUCUUUUUCCUUUUUUCCCCCUUUCAUUUUCUUUUGAAAGGGUUUGGUUUUAUACUUCAAUAAUUGCAGAGUAUAUUAUCCUUUUGGAAAAUUGCUUAUAUCCCAGCAAAAUUUUUUGUUCAAGGUUUUCUUUUUGACCAUUUAAAGUCCUAAAUUUCAGCUGUAGUUGGGAAGGUGACACUUUUUCUGUUUUCAGCAAAUCUUAUUAGUGGACUGAUAUAUUCUCCCAUAUUUAUUCAUGCCACAUAUAUGGUUUUACUUUAUUACUAUAGGGACCAACAGUUGGUUGUUCCUUAUGUUUAGAUAAGUUCGCAGAAGAAGAAAACAGGUGUCAUUGCGCCAAAGCGCUUUGUACAGAGAUUGAAGAAACAAAAUGAGCUUUUCCGCAGCUAUAUGCACCAGGUAGUAAAGUGCUUUUUAUUUGUUUGGUUCAAGUACCGCAUUCACUUCCUUUAUAUUGAUGAAUUUUCAUCUUGCAACUAUGCUGCGGUUAUAUUUGCUUGGUUCAAGGUUUCAAUUAAUGUAAAGUAGUAGCUUUUUCCUUGGCAUGUCAACCAAAACAUUUGGACUUUAUUUUCUUCAAUGGAAAAUGCAGAAGAGAAUAACUAUUUGUCUCUCUUUUCUUCGGUAGGAUGCUCAUGAGUUCUUGAAUUUUUUGCUAAAUGAACUUGUCGACAUAUUGGAGAAAGAGGCUCAAGCAGCUAAAAAUGAUGCAGAAACUUCAUCACCACCUGAAAAGACUGCAAAUGGGCCAAAGAAUCCUCAGGCAAAUGGUGUUCUAAAAGAGCCUUUGGUUACAUGGGUACACAAGAAUUUUCAGGUGAGUUUGCUAGUUAUAUUUCUAUAUUCUGAUUAAUUGUUCUGGCUUGUGCUGUGUUUACUUUGCUUGACACAAAAUAAAGAUGAAAUCAAGUUAUAUUCUUGGUUGGGUUAUAUCUAAAGGAAAUUAUAACAUACUUUGAAAAUUGAAACCUUGGCAGCAUGACCAAAAUUAUAGGAAUGUAUUAGGUCUGAAAGCAUUUGUGAAGAAAAAUUAAUUUAACCUAUGCUUUAAUAGACAGAGAAAGUGAAAUAAAUACAAGCAUACUAUCUGCAAAUGCUUCAGGAUAUCAUGGCUAAAAUCUUUUUGUGGGUCCUUGUAUGUAGGCUGCUAGCAUAAAAUAAUAUUGGUACUUGCAUUAGUGCAUUACUUUUACUUUUAUAUGAUUAUGAUAUCUCAUUUAUAAUCCAUAAGAUAACGACAAUGAAUGGUGAUUGCCUGUAUCUUUCCCUCUUACAUCUUAUUUAUUGACAAUGUUUAUAAAGGAAUGCUAUGCUUUGCUAUACUUUUACUCUCCAUUGAAUUCUUUAGUAGAACAAUUGUGCCCCAAAUCCCUCCUCUUUGUGUUACCUCGUGAGUUUUUGUGUGUGGCUUUUUGUUUGUUUGCUCUGUGCAUUUUGGGAAGAAUCUUAUCAUCUCCUGGGGUAAUUUGAGACAGGGAAUACUUACCAAUGAGACAAGAUGCUUGCGAUGUGAGACAGUGACAGCAAGAGAUGAAAUUUUCUUUGACUUGAGCCUUGACAUUGAACAAAACAGUUCAAUAACUAGCUGUUUGAAAAAUUUUAGUUCUACCGAGACAUUGAACGCAGAGGACAAAUUUUUCUGUGACAAGUGCUGCAGGUAAUUUUCCUUUAUACAUGUUUUAAAUCCCUUGAUGUGUUUUAGUUUGUAAUUGAUUAUUACCCCGUUUUCUUCUCACAUGGUUUAAGAUUCAUCUUGUAAUGUAGUUUACAUUGAUAUAAAUAUUUACUUGACUCCUUUUAUCAUGUGUGAGAUUUUCAGAAUGGCCAAUUCUGGUCAUGGGCUCAAAUGAGUUAUUAGUGUUAUCCAUUUUUCUUAAUAGUUCAAAAAUUAAACCGAGAAUGUUGCAUUUAAUGGUUUUGUCUUUACAAAUAGUUUGUAACUUGAUACAAAGUUUAUAGUUUAAUACCUAGAUGGUUCCAAAGAUGCAUAUCAUAUAAACAAUUAAACUUUGGAAAGGAAUGAUGUUUAGUUACUUGCAGUUUGCAAGAAGCCCAGAAGAGAAUGAAGAUAAAGAAGCCUCCUCACAUCCUGGUUAUUCAUUUGAAGCGGUUCAAGUACAUUGAGCAGCUUGGCCGGUACAAGAAGCUCUCCUACCGCGUCGUGUUUCCACUUGAGCUGAAGCUGAGCAAUACUGUGGAGGACGCGGAUUCAGAGUAUUCUCUAUUUGCUGUAGUAGUUCAUGUGGGUAGUGGACCAAACCAUGGGCACUAUGUUAGCCUUGUGAAAAGCCAUAACCACUGGCUAUUUUUUGAUGACGAAAACGUGGAGAUGAUCGAUGAGUCAGCAGUUCAGACAUUUUUUGGGUCAGCCCAGGAGUAUUCAAGUAAUACAGAUCAUGGGUAUAUCCUGUUUUACGAAAGCCUUGGUGCAAACAAGAGCUGAGAAGAAGGUUUGAUUUCGCCAACAGUAGUUAUUCUAAUCUCUCGGACCUCAUUUUUCUUAAAAUUGUCUAUGCGUAUUAAAUUUUUUUCUCACUUUUAUUAAAAAAAAAAUCAUUUUCCAACCUUGUGGGAAGAGCUGGCAUGUAUCAGUGAGGUGAUGUGGGUUGCGAAAGAAUGUAUACUUAGGUUGUUGCCAUGUACAGUGGAUAGUGGAAGCACACUGUCCUUGUUUUUUCACAAUAAGAGGAAAAAAAAUAGCAGUGUAUAUGGUGUGAGAAUAUCACAGAGACAGUUUGUAUUCUUCAUGGUUGAGCAUGUUUUUAACAUUAGCAAUGCUAUUGGAGUUGCUACCAAUUUCCUAGAUAGAUGUUGUUGUUUUCCCAACAAAACAAAUCAGAUCCAACCGCUAUGACUAUCUGAUUAGGAAAAAGAAACAAGAAGAAGCAACUGUUGGCGCACAGUUAACAUUGAGCAGCACCCACUGUGGCCAACAUUUGGAAGGAUAACAGGGUGGUCCUAACUGAGAUAUUACUCUCAAGAGUGUCAAGCAAAUAAAUACUCCAUGUAGAUGUAGCAUGGCCAUGGAUCAAAUGAUAUGUCAAAAUUAUACAGCUGUUAAUCCCAACCCACUUGAUGAGUAAAGGACCACCAAAUGAAUCGGCUUGUUAUGUUAUUUACAGAUGAAUUAUAGCACCACUUACUGAUGAUACGCCAGCUCAAAGUCAAACAAGAUUUACAAAGAGAAUAACGGGAGAUCAGUUCACUCAAGGUGUGUAUGCAUGAAAGUGUCAGCAUCUAACAGUUUUGCUAGAUCAAUCAAGUCUUCAUCCAAAACUGUUUCUGUACUGCUGAGAACCUUAUCGUACAUGACCUGCCAAGUUAAUUCAAAUAGAGAAGUUCUGCAACAUCAGUUGUGUCAGAUAAAGUACUAGGUUUUCAUGCAUGCUAUUAACUCCUUAUACCGAUACAUCCAUGAUAUAAUACCAAGAUCUUGCCCAGUCAUUUCACAAAAGCAAGAUUUAUUUGAAAACUCUGGGCAUCUCUGCUAAUAUUCCUUGUUCAGUUUAAUAAAGAAGCUUCUGUAAGUGAAAUCAUGCAAGAGGCAUCAUCUAUCUAGUACUUUUACCGACUAACAAAAUAUUAGAGAGAAUAUUUCAAUUACCUUUGUCUCUUGGAUCUCAGUGACGACAUUCUUCAUCCUACUAUAUUGAUCUCUGCCUGCAGGAUUCUGAGCCAUGGACUUCACUCUGGCUAGUGCCUUCUGUAACCUUUCUUCUGUUUGCUUCCUUCCUUCUUUCAGGAAAUCAUAAUCAUCCUCCUUUGGGGGUGGUGCACGUAUGCUGGAGCCCUCAGUGAGUGCUUCUGGUUUGAAUCCACGCAAACCACUUCCUUUCCGUCUCCAUCGCAAGAUCACCUUCUCCAAAAUUCCUACUGACCAGACUAUCUUCCUAUAUGUUUUCCUGACCUGAUGGCCUCUUACAUGAGCCUUUCAUUAGAAAAAAUAAAUAAAUUAAUUAAGCAAUUUUUUUUAAAAAUACUAACAGUUAGAAUUCAACAGCUAUGCUUGUCUCGAAAAAUCCUUGCUGGAUAAAGGGGAGGGGGAUGACUAAAUAUAAAGCAAAAACCAUAAACUAGAGCAGCAGUUGCAAUUGAACCUGAAUCUUGACAAUCCGUUGGCGGAUUAUUAAAAAUUCUUUUCUACCCUUCCAACCACGAAACUUAUUUUGUAUGCGAAUGGCAGCCGCUUGCACAUGCUCAUCAUGUUGUCCAGGCUUGUUUGACUUGACUGCUAUAAGUGAAAGAGCACGCUCAUUUGACAUUCCAAAUUUACCAUCACCAUACUCUUUUAGCUGCCUUUUCUGGAAGGACUGCACCCUGAAGACUUGAUGAAUACGAGCAGCAGCUUGAGUGGCAUUACGAACAGCAGCUAAUGAGUCUUUUAACGAUGGGCCAUCUGAAGCAUCCCCACAGCCGAGUGGAGCUGUGCUUCUCUCCAAAAUUUUCUGUAUUGCAUCUGCUCUAGAAUCCACGGUAUCGUUAUUGCCUUGGUUAUCCAAAUUGAGGGAUCGAAGGUGGAAACUCAAAUCAGAUUCUGCAAGAUAACCAGAAAUUCCUUUAUGUCCAUUGGUAGAGGCCAGGUCAGCAGGUGUUCUGCCUAAAGGAUAUUUAGGAGUUGGAUCUGUUAAUGCUCCAGGAGCUGCACCCAGUGAAAUAAGGGAAGCAACUGUGCGUUCUCUGAUGUUAAAGAAAGUUGAUAUCAGUGGAAGCCAGACAGACUAAAAUAAGUACAUAAUUCAUAAUACAUAGAUAAGCUAAAGGAAUAAGUAAUAUUUUUUUGUCUCAUAUCAUUGUACCUAAAACAACCAUUAAAAGGUAUUUGCUACCAUAGGAACCAUUAUUUUUGGAAGCCUAUUUGGGGCAUCUACUACAAAGUUUUUUUGCAAGCUCCAUUUUACUAAUAAUUCUUUCCUUCUUCAGAUAAAUUCACACUUAAAAUAUACCUUCAGCCUAUAUACCCUUUCUUGUGUAAAAAUGGUCCAUAAGCAAAAUAUUUAAAAAGAUGAAAAAGAAAAGAGACAGAGAGGAAAAUUCUACUUCAAUUUUCAAGUUGCACACCUGCCAUAAGAUGCUGCCCAAUGAAGUGCAGUCCAUCCAUUCACAUCCCGGAAGUUAACACUUACACCAGCAACUAUAGUGGGCUCUAAGGCCCAAUCAUAGCCAAGAGCAGCUGCAAAAUGUAUGACACCUUGGCCACCGUCAUCCAAUAUAUUAGGGCCUUUACCACCUUCAGCUACCUUCUGCAAGAGCCAUACACGCAACUUCUCUUUCAGUAGCUUCUGAAGCAGCUGCUCCUUCAUUUUUUCUGGGGAAAUCUCUUCUGCGGAGUUAUGCAUCAACAUCUGAUCCCAUUCCUUGAUAUCCUCUUUCAGCAAUGAAUUAAUUUCAUCACUCAACUGGGACACAUCAGCUACAUUGUAGGUAAUAGAAUACGGAGACCUGGAGCCAAGGCACAACAAUCUACCAAAUCGCAUGUCAAGAAUUUCAUUGGUAUUACUGCAAGGGUAAUCCAUAGUUUCCAUAUGAUUGACUCGGUAUUCAAACUCUCGGACUUCACUACAAGCUAAUCUGUUGGAGCAUGUAACAUAGAAGGGAACCCUGCCAGCCUUGUGUAUUGGAGUGUGGCAACGAAGAACUCCAUCUGCUAUAACCUCUGCUGGAACUUCUACUUCCCCAAACAUGCAUGACCAUUUACAAUUUUCGGCCUCAUCUCUACUCUUCAGGAACCUUCCCGUGAUGAGGACCUGUGUGAGUUGUGGAAGAAAUUAGGGAAAAAGAAAAGUUAAAACAUAAGAAAACGAAGAGUUUUUACAAGCCAUUUCAUUUAGGAACUAAUUCAUCGGUAUUUCCCAUCAUCAGUAAAUUGUUGAUAUUUCAAUGCUUGCUUUGCAUAUAAAACUUUUUACAGCUUACCUUGAUUUCCGAGCCUACGUAUGCCCAAUUUGGCGAAAAAUCAAUAAUGCUGAAAAGCUGAUCCUGGGAUAAGGAAGGACCCAGCAAAAAGGUAUCCAGUUGCCCUUGAGAGGGAAUAGUGGAAACAUCAACCCCAUUUUGACCUUCAACCGCAUCCCAGUAGGCCCCAGAACUGGACUGCAUAUGUGAUUCAUCUACAUCUCCAAGUUCUUUACUCAUCCAGCGGUUGAAACUAUCAAGCUUCUUCAGACCUUCUUCCACUAAAGAACCAUCAAACAAAUGCUGUCUCAUAGCAGAAGAGUUAAUGGAUUUUCCCUCUAGGGUCAAAUGGCUCUCUGGAUCUGGUUUAAGCGCGUAUCCAUGCUUUCCAUUUGAGGGCUCUAUCUGUUCGUUAUUUUGCAUAGAGUUAUCAUGUUGCUUGUCUGGAUGCACAUGGUGAUUAACUUCUUGUUCAUGAAAUCUAAAAGUAAGAUCAUAUCUCAAGUCUGGAUGCAAUUUCUGAUUCAAUGGCCACUUUGAUAAAUGUGAAGAAUCACCUUCAGAAGCCUGUUUAGAGGGCAAAUUAAAACCCAAGAAGUAAUUAAUUGGAAGAAGAAAAGGUAGCAUAUAUAACCAGCCAGAUGCAUGAAACUGCAGCAAUGCAACUACAGCAUAUCAAACUAGGUUACAGGUUUUAAAGACCUGUGUGUGCAAUUACAGCUGAAAUGACCCUAACUGCCAUUAUUAUUAUUAUUUUUUGAAUGGCAAUGCAAAAAGAAUUCCGUAAUAACCAAGUUAUUGCAAAGAUUACAAUCAACCAAACCUAGCCAAGAUACAUUGCACAAGCAGCCCCAAAACAAAGAGGAAUUAAUAGAAUGAGAACUAGAAAAAUUUCAAAGAUUACAAUGACCCUAACUGCCAUUAUUAAUGCUUUUUUUUUUCCUAAAAAUAUUGCAAUUCAACUCUUAGCCUUUAUUAAGCAAGAAUUUUCAAAGCCAUUACCACAGAUAACCAUCGCAAAGAAGAAUUCAUCAUUUUGGAAAUUACCACUUCCACUUGGAAUUUACAUAUGCUAAACAAGGUAAAUCACUCCAUUACCUGCCAUUCUUCUUGAACAGGUGCCUGAUUGUCAAACUCCUGCUUUGUAAGAAAGCUGUUAUUGAAUAGCUGCCCCAUGGUAUCACGUUGUGUUGAGGAAAAUGGUGGUUGAUGUUGUGCAGAUUCAACCCCAGGAGUACAAUUUUCCAACACAUCCUCCCACGAAGUGAAAUCAAGGUUCUUCUGGGGCUCAUAUGUUAAUCCAGCAUCAUUAUACUCUCUACUCUUGUCUGGUUGGGUAAGUUGAAAACCAGUGCCUGAUGGCUUUCCAUGAUAAUCAUCUGUUAGCAGUAAAGAUUAGUGGUUAGCAAAACCUGAAAGGCCAAAGUUAACACUAAAAAUGGAAUAACACCAUGUCAAACAACUAGCGUACUUGAAUGUGACAGAGGAACAUAAGGAUCAGAGAAUCCAGAAUCAACCCUCCCCAUAACAGGUUGUUGUAACUCAAAAAAAGAGUUGAACUGUGAACUUGCUUGAUGAUUAUAGUCUGCAUCAGAUCAUCUUCAUUGGUAAGAAUAAGAAACACAAUAAUACAUUAUUUAUCUUCAAAGUGAAGUAAUGACUUCAAAAUUACACAAAAUUAGCACCUUAUGAUUUAUUAGGAAUUUGAGCCAUAUUUAGCUAAAAUAAACACACCUGAUUCGGCAUCUUCAUAUUCCGAUGCCUGCACACUGUUCAGGCUUGUUGUAUCUGUUGUUUUUGAAGGAAUUUGACCAUUAUUAGGAUGAAAACUGGAAGACACAGAACUUUCCAUCUCAGAAUUGGGUAGACUUCCUUCAGUUUCUUGGGAAUAUGGAAUAGCUUCUUCAGUCUCUUUGAUGCGGUUAAAAUUUGUCCUAUUUCCCUGACAAAUUUCAGAAAGCAAAAACAGAAUAUUAAAACUAAAUGGCUCUUAAUAGGAACUGUUUAAGAAACUUAUUGAUAACACUAGAGAAUGAGACAAAUGUUGAAUUCAAUCAACAAUGUAAAACACCAGGUUCACAGUUAAAAGAUGUAUAUGAUCAUGUACAAUUUCAUCCUGUGAUGCCAAAGACCUUUAAGGUUGUAGAAAUUAUUCAGGACCAAUGUUUUAGUAUGUGUUGUUGUUCAGAUGCUAAUGCUCUUUAAAAUGAGCCAACGAUAAAGAAAAGGUGCGAAAAUGUAGAAAAUAGCAGCCUGUAUGCUCCCUCAAAAGCUGUUUAAGAAACCUUUGUUUUCCUGAUUCAGGAAACAAUUGGAGUAAAGUGGUAAAGAAUGGCUAGUCCCAUUACAAAGGUGACAAUUCCAACAGCCAAUGCAAGUUGGUCCAAGUUGACGGCACCAAAAAGACAGUAGAAGAUGGAAGGAAGAAAAAGAACAGCGUUCAAGGCACAGAUGGCCAUACAGCUUAGACAGAGAUAGCUAAACAAAUAAAGAGGGAGAGAGGGGACAAAUAGUGGGGAUAGCAACAGAGGAAGUAUAAAGUUUAUAUGCUUAUGCCCAAAUAGGAUAAGACUCUAUUCAAUUAAGCAUAGUAGAGAACAAAAGCUAACAUGAAUCACCAGCUAAUGUAUCACUAACUAUAUAUGUACAAACUCUUAGAUAACUCGAACUAAAUAUGUAAAAAAGUAUAAACUAUAUGAUUUAUGAUAUAUCACCAUCAACAUAAAACACAGUACAAAAAGUGAUCUUUAUCCUUAAUCAUAGCCAAGAGCACAAUAUUUAGGCUGGCUGAAAUUUGGCACACUUAAUUAAACAAUGAAGUAAAAAUAAAUGUAAUUGAAUGCAUCAACUUUUUUAGGACAUCCAGACUGUACAAGUUCAAUACAUCCUGAAAAGAAAAGGCAAAAAAAAAAAAUGUUGGGUAGGUAAUAUUGAUAUUUCUGCACCCAGACUAUUAUCUAAAGUAGACAUAAACAGCUUUAGAUUUCGAAUUGCAAUCAGCCAAAGAGCCAUGUUAAUGAGUUAUGCCAUAAAAAAUCAUAAACAAACUUUUUCCUUAAAAUUCUUUCUAAAGAUGAUGGAUAAACGGGAGGAAGAAGAAAAUUGUGAUAGAAUAAGGUCUGACCUUUACUUCUCGAUAGUGAACUAGAACAAUGUGUGAGAGAUCCCUACACACAGUAGUUAAUUAUGUCAGCGACCAAAGAGGGAGCUUAAUAACAAGCCCCUCCAUAGAUUAAUACUACAGCAAAGAAACUAAUUACAAUUUCAAGCAAAUAGCACAUGCAUUUCAGAACAAACAAACAUGAUCCAUAUUAGUAGAAUUGAUUGCUGAAAUUAGCAAUCGCCACCAACUUUAACACAUUGCUUGUCAGAUAUUCUACUACCAUAAAGCAAAAAAACACCAUGAAAAUACAAGGAAUCUUAAGUUUAAUAUUGCUUUAUGUGAACCUCGUCAAAAGGAACAGAUACAAAUCAAAUUUUGAAUACGUUUUCUUUAUCUCAAAGCAGAACUUCUCACAUUUUAAUUAAAUAUAAAAACUAUCUUUGUGAUGGAACUAAUAAAUAAAAAUUUCUAAAUGCAUGUAAUAUAGAACCGUCCUAUUAACAAACAAAGAGAGAAUACAUGGGCAGAGUACAGGCUUUUGCAAAAGGAAAAAAAUUCUAUAAUGUGAGCAGAGUUGCCUUUGUGCAUCAGUUUAACUAACAUGAAAUAAAUUAAAUCCUAGGUUCAAGUUUUCAUAAUAGAAAAAUUCAAGAGCAAGGAAACAAAGGAUAACAUGAAUCUUCCAGAUAGGAUUUCACUGCAAAAAUUUUAGAAUAUUAAUUUCUCCACCACCUACCUUUAGACAAUCAAACUCCAUAGAACUUUACAGAGGAAGAUUUUUAAAAAAUCACAUUCAACUAUUAUUUCAUUGAAUACAAGAACUAAUCAUCAAAGCUUAUUCCAUAGCUAGCCUAUAAGAUAAGUAACUAAAACUGAGUAUUUUAUUAUUUUAACUAAGACAUAACAACACGUAUACGCACACACAACAUUGUGAAAACAUCUACGACCGCACAAACUUUUAAAGACUCACUCUUCAAGCAUCCAAUAACUGCGUCUUUGAAAAUUUUCGUUAUCUUCUCCAUGAGCAUAAUAGCAAUGCAGAACAUCAAUGCUUCCAGCCUGAAAAGAUUUCCAUUUGUCCAAAGUUUUUCACUAAAAGCACAGAAAAUUUCAUACGAAAUGUGUUCCCUCUUCCCCAAAAGAAUCAAAUUAUAAAAAAAAAAUGUACAAGCAAGUUACUAGGGCAUAGCUGCAUAAUAUCAGCUUUAGAGGGGUGCCUUCUUUCCAAAAAAUGAAAAACAAGAUGAGCCAGAUUCUUACCUUGAGUCUCUCAUGAGCUUCCUUCACUGUUUUGCCAUCCUUUUUCUUCCUCCAGUUAUGGCCAUCCUUUCUAAAGUAUCUCAGCACCUUUCGAUCAAAAAGAAAAAGCGAACCACCUGAAAAUGAGACGAAUCUUAAGUUUGGAGAAUUCAAUUUGGUAUCUGAGCACACGUAGGACACACAAUCAAAGCAACUAUAUAUUAUUAGUAGUAUACAUGUUUAUGCUCAUUAUGGGAGAAGAUGAUGAAUCAAACCCAAGAUAAGUAAUCUUGAAUAAAAAAAGUAUUAAGACAAGCCCUAAACUGUAAAUGAUUUGGUUAUCCAUAAUCUACAAAUUAUCAGUUAAAGAAGAGGUCAACUUAAUACCCAAAUACACAAAGCUUUUUUUUCUUUUUUUCUAAUCAAAAAUCAAAUAUCAGUAGAUUUUAGGAACCAAUAAGCCAAUAAUAUUUAGAGGUCAACAUAGUAAUUUAAUUUCCAAGAGGUCAGCAUAAAUGGUUGUAUGUCUGAAGCACGAUCCAAAUCCCAAUACAAUACCUAAGAAACAGAAUAAAAUAAUUGAAAAGGAGAGCCCCUCAAAAGAAUAUUUGAUAAAAAGAAAAUGACCACUGCAAUUCCUCAAGUUAAAGAUAUCUCUAGGAAAUGUGAAUUGAAACCAUAUAAACAAACAGAACUAGAAAAUUAGAAGGAAUUGGAAAUGGGGAGGAAUGAGUAAACAAACAAUCAACAAUUAUGAAAUACAUUCCAAAAGUCCUAAUCACAAAAGAUCAUGCAAGCAUCACAAAAAACUAAGUUACAUUUUAAUGUAUGGACAGCAAAAUUUUUGACCUUAUCAAGAUAAUUAUCAUCAUGUAACAGCAUGAACCGUCAAAUGCAAUUAAAAAAGUUCAUACUUGGUGGCAUAUGUGCAGGUUCUGGAGCAAUGUGAAAUUUCUUAUAAUCUUUAAGAAUUUCACAUAUUUCAGCUGGCCUUAGCCACCUGUGCUGUGCUUCCAUUAGUAUCUGCUCAAUAUCUGCACCAUACAAGAUGAGAGUUAAUGAAAAUCUAUGCAUAUAACUUAAAAUCAACAAGUACAAACUGCGAAAUAACUCAAACCCUCACAUUAACUUGUUAAAGUAAAAGCUACUCCUAAUGCCAAGAUAAUACACGUUUUCUAUACAACAAUAUCAUCACAUUAUCAUUUCCUUUCGAAUUUUGACCCUAAGUUUCUUCUUUUUCAAUAAAAAUUGAAUACCCUUCUUAAAUACUUUUUUGCAGCAUAAAAAAUACUCAAUUAAGCUAAUACUCUUUUUAUCAAAUCAAAUCUUGCAAACAAAAUGCAAUUAAAACCCACCUCAUAAACUAAACAUUAAUAUAGGUAUAAAAGGACAAAGUUUAACUGUAAAUUGAACCAUAAAAAAAAGAAAGCAGUGGAAAAAACCAAGCAAAAUUUUACUUUCACUAAAAACCCAAGUGAAUAAUAACGCAAAAAAUUGAAAAAAAAAAGAAGUAAGAGGAGAUAGAAGAGUCAAUUAUAUACAUACCCAGUUGAUUGCUAAGGCCAUAGUGCCUAGUCUCUGCCAUAAUCUUUAGUUUCUUUCUCUUUUCUCUUUUAACUAUCUUUCUUAGCUCAAAAAAGUGAAGUUGGAGGCCUUUACGAUCCGUUAAAGCUAUAAGAAAAACGCGGUUUUUCGAGAAAAGAGAAAGUGGGUAAUCAAGGAAGCGCACCCUCAAGGAAAGUUUUAAUUUGCCUUCUUAACAAAAUACCAAAUAUUGAAAAUUUAUUGUAGCAUAUACAGGAGAAAGAGAGAGGAAAUGGAACUAUCAGCCAGGAAUCAACGUGUUAGUCUUUCAGUUCAGUUUAGUCCACUCUUUGACGUCUGUUCCGGGAUACUUCUUUUACUGUAGUUUUUAUUUUAAAUAUCUUCCCUUCUUUUUCCUUUUCUUUAGAAUACUCACCCGCAUUUUUUUAAUAUUGUUUAAUUAGGAACUGUAUUAAACAAAAAAAUUUUCCAAAUAUCAUAAAAUAAUAUAGCUGAUUUUAAAUGAUUAAAGAAAGAUAAUAAAUUAGCUGUGUCUCAACUUUCACUUGUGAACAAUUGUCACUUGGACAUAACCACUUAGCUCAAGCAGUAAUAAUGGGGUUGGAAUUAAGUAGAAAAUUUAACUUCCAAUCAAAACGCUAACUCCUAAUCUUUUAUACUAAAAAGAAUUUUUCAUUUAGUUAUACUUUUUUUUUUUUACAAUUGAGGGAGGGAGGAUUCGAACCCUAUUCUUAAGACAAUAGAUUAUAUACCAACCAAUAAGCUAAAUACUCGAGGGCUUAAUUUAAUUAUACUUAUAAUGUAUAAUAUUUGAGAAAGUCUGUGAAUUAUUUAUGAAAUUUUAAAUAAUUUCAAAAUUAUAAAAAGACUAAAGUAUCUUUUUAUGUUAUUAAUUUAAAAAUUAUUAUUAUAUAUAUAUUUUUAAAAAAAGAGCACGAUUGGUGCUCCCCAACUCCCCAAGAAAGGAAGCCCGAUCGGAGCUCCCUAGAUUAGAGAGUUUUUUUUAAUUAAUAAAAAAAUAAAAUUAAAUAAUAAUAAUUAUAAAAAUUAAUUAAGGGUAAAAUUAUCUUUUUACUCUUACUACAUCAACUGUAGACACAAUUUCAAUUUCAAUUUAUAUGUAUUUUUAUAUUGCAUUUGUUUUUACUAUUUGUCUUUACCUUAUUUUACUUUAAUAAUUUCACAAUUUAAACCCAAUUUCAACCGGUUUUAAAAUGGAUAUUAAUUCUUGGGUUUGUGGCCCAGAAACAAGUCCAAAAGAGGCAAUUAGAGGAAAAUCGAAUUAAACAAAAUCAAAACAGACAAAAUGAUGAUUAAAGCAAGAUUAGUUAAAAAACUUUUCAGAGGACACAAAUAACAGAACCAAAAAGGCCAGCUAGCAAAAAACCAAAAUCGUAUAAUGCAAAGAGCUCUGCCAGGAGCAUGAAAUUGCACCUAAUAGAGGUGAAAUCAUUGUUGUUCAAUUUUCUACUAACGCAAAUGUACGUAUCGCAAAGAUAAUAUAGAGAUGAGUAAAGUAUCAAUCCCACAGAUAAUUAAAUUAAUCUUUAUAGUUAACUACUAAAAUUAACAUACCUUAAUUUUAUCUAAACAAUUAAAAUUAAAAAGAAAAAUUUUAAUUAAUAAACUAAUAACAAAAACUAAAACUUAAUCUAAAAUCUAUAAGCAAAUUUACUUUAUUAAAUUUGAAUGACUACCAGACCUAAGAUUAUGAUAUCCCUCAAUACUUUAUCUAAUUAUUACCUCUCUCUCUCUUAACUCAGUUUAAUGGAUUAAGUUGCUAACCUAUAGUCCUAAAUUAUUUACAAGUCUCUGUCGAAUUUCUUAUAAAAAUACCUUUCCCAAAUAAUUUACUAUAUGUCUAUGCAAAUUAUAUUAAAGAAAUAUUCAUUAAGUUUGUGCUCUAAUUUUGGCUACGUAUGGCUUAUAGAUGUAUGUCUAUCCUAUAUGCAAAUCAAAUCAACUAAGUGUAUUCGAUCAUACGCUAUUCUAUUCAAGGUCUACCUAAAUCUCCUUCGUCAAUAUUUAACCUAGGUUUCUAAUUCAAUCUAAUUGGUGGCCAGUCAACUAUAAGCAUUAAGAACAUAAUAAAAUAAACAACUUAAAUCCAUCAAAUAUAAGUAAAAGAGAGAUAAAUAAUUCAGACUACAUAUUGAGUUUAAUCAUAAUCUUAAAUUAACAAUUUAAUUCUUCAUCAAGUCAUAUAUCAUCAUUGAAUAAAAUUUACAUAUUAAAACUAAGAGAAUAAAAGAAUAACAAAAAAAUAGAAAAAAACCAAGGAAUGUAUUCUUGAUCUCCAAAUCUCCUUGAAUUCUUCAAAUUCCUUUAAUGACUCUGUAGCUUGACUCUCAGUUGUCAAUCCAGUGUUUUCUUCUCUUCCCUUGAAGUUUUCCUAAAAGUUGUUUUUAUAGACUUUAAAGUUAAGCUAAAUUGGGUGAAGAAAGAAGUCAAUUUCAGCUGGGAUGUCCUCAUUAGACUCUGUAAGUCACAGCAUUGCCCAAUUAAUUAACAGAAAUCAUAAUUGCUCUAAGACUACUACAAUGCAUCAACUUUUAAUAAGAUUUUUGACCAUCCUACAAGCUGAACUGGGCAAAGUAUAAAUAUAAAAGUUGUAGAUUUUUCUCUUAUCUUUCUAAUGGUCCAAGAAUUGCUUCAUUUGGAGUUUUGUAACUAAAGUUAUGACCAAAAAACCGAAAUAUAUGUAUUAGAAGUCUGCACCUUGAAAUUGCUCUUCUUCUUUCAUUAAAAUUCUUCUUUCAUCAAACACCUACAAAAGCUCAAUUAAAUUAAUAACAACCUAUCUUAACCAUAUUAACACCAAAUCAAACAUAAAAUUAACCACGAUUAGAUUGACUCACCUAAAAUAACUAAUUUCAAAUAAUUAAAUAAGAACUAUUAAUUUCUAUGCAUUAUUAUAAGAACUAAACUAAAUUAUUACCAAAAUUUAGUUCAAAUAACUCUAUAUCAUAGAGUUAUCACACCCGUAAACUUAAAAUUUUGCUAGUCCUCAAGCAAAAUAUAAACAAAAAAAAAACUAACUUACGAAAUUCAAAUUCACUUAAUGAGAAUUAACAUAAAUAUAGUUACUCCUACUACUACUAUUACUAAAGAUAACGUGCACCAACUCAAUGAUUUUUUUAUAAUUUUUUCAAAAGUAUGUCUAUUAAUAAUUAACCUAAUGAAACAUAUAGGCCUCAUUCAAAUUCAUGUUUCAAUUCUAAUGCAAGCAUAUUCUCGAAUGGAUUUCUGUGUGUGUGUGAAAUUUUUUACCAAGAAUAUCAUGACAUCCGAAUGAGUUUAUGCCAAUAUAAAUUUCAAAUUAGUACUAGAUUUUCAUAGAUUUACUUUUCAUCUCUCUCUGCACUAAUGUAGACCAAUACAAAGCUAGGGAUCAAUAGGACUUUAUAAAGCUUGUAAUGUAUGGCUAGGGUCAAGGUAUGAUAAAGGAUAUUAAUGUGGCUUAAAUCAUCCUAAGCACAUAAUUAUUAUAGGACCUAUAUAUAUAGAGCUCUAUUUUUCUUCUCCUAGUACACCUUUUUUUUUUCAUAUUUGAACUUUUCUUUCAUUCAACACAUUUUUUUUUUUCACAAUUUCAGACCUCCAAACUUAUUUUCUUUGCAUUGCAGGUAGUGGGGUAACUUUGCAUAUUUUGAAAUUUUUUUUUUCAUCAACGUCACCUUUCCACCUUUUUCAACAUUUAGUUCAAUUUAUAUUUCCUAAAACAAUAUACAUGUUUAGGAGUGAGGGUUGCAAAAUUGAAAUUUAAUUUUAAGGUUAAGCUCAAUUAUUAUGUAGUUAAACAAAGAAAAGAGAAAUUAGGCUCAAAAAGGGUAUACUAGGGAUAAAGAUUUAAUAAGAUUGACUUUUUAGGCUCAAACGGUCCAAAGAUGACCUAAAUCAUAUCCCUAACUAAGUAUUGCCUAAAAUUUCACCUCAAGAUAAAAUCAAGCAAAUUCUAGAAUUCAUGAUAUAAUAUAAAAUUUACAUCAAUAUAAACCUUCUCUAGAUAUACAAAAUAAUUCAAAGUAAAAGAUAUAGUGCUCAAAAUUGUGAAAAUCACAUCCCAACAAUGACACUUAACAAAAGAUUUAUCAUGAAUCCAAACAAAAGCCUUAUUCAUCAAAGGCUAAAAAUUCGAAACAACUAGUUAUCAUCAUUGGAUAAGAAAAAAAUCAUUGAAAAAAAUUGGCACAACUUUACUUCUAGAUUCCUAAGGUUCAACAAGAAAUAAAUUCUUUGACCAACUAAUCCUAUAUUAAUUAUAAAUACGCAUGCAAAUAAAAUUAGAGCUAAAACUUUCACAGAAUAUUCAUCAUCAGAAAAAUAAAUUCACCCCUCCAAACUUAAACUAAACAUGAUCCUCAAUGUUAAAAAAAAUAAAGAAAAUGUCAAGAAUACUCCCCUGAUGAUUGAAUGAAUUUUUUAAAAGCUCUAAUUCUCCUAUUUAUUGUUAUCAUCUUCAUUGCCACUUGGAGGAAUUUUUUUUUACUACAAAAAAUAAAUAAAUAAUGUAGAGAAAUAAAAUAAAUAAUAAAUAAAAUUAAUUGAAAAGAAAAUAAAUAAAGAAAAAGUUUUUUUUUUGUUGGGUAAUGGGUAAAUGGGUAGUCCAAAUAAGAAAAAGGAAUUGGGUUUAGUUAAUGGGCUACCCACAUAAUGGUGAGUAGUGGGUUGCCAAUUCAGAGGGGGGGGGGGGGGAGGGGGGGGGGGGGGCGUACCCCAUGUGGGAGCAGCGACCCACGUGCAAAUGGCCUCUUUUUUUUUUUUACGAAGCCGCGGCUCACGUUGUUGGAAGCUCGCUAAGCAGUAGCUUACCAUUCUUUUUUAAAUUUGUUUUUAUAAAUUUUUUUUUGAAAAUUUUUCUUUUUUUUUGAAAUUUUUUUUUUGAAAUAUUUAUUUUUUUACAUGUAAUUUUUUUUUGAAAUAUAUUUUUUUGAUAUUUUUUUUUGAAUUUUAAAAAAAAAAUUAAAAUUUUUUUAUGAACCUGCAUAAAUAAAAAAAAGUGUUACUAAUUUAAUAAUUAAAUAAAUAAAAAUAAAGUAAGUUAGAGUGCUUAGGUUGCCUCCCAAUAAGCGUUUUUUUAUAGUCAUUAACUUGACUAUGAUACCC